CCCCUGCGAUGGGGGUCCUAAGAGAAAUGGAGGGAAGAGGGGCUGGCUCUCAGUCCCCGCCUCGCGGGGGGUGCCUCCCCCCCUGCGAUGGGAGUCCUAAGAGAAAUGGAGGGAAGAGGGGCUGGCUCUCAGUCCCCGCCGCGCGGGGGGUGCCUCCCACCCUCGCGAUGCGGAUCCUAAGAGCCAGGGGGGGAACAGGGGCUGGCUCAGUCCCCGCCUCGCGGGGGGUGGCUCACUCCGCUGAGAUGGGCAUCCUAAGAGCCAGGGGAGGAAGAGGGGGAGAGGAUGAUAAUUUCAGCAUCGCAGGCUGUGUUCACCCAGCCUGUUAAAUUGUUAUUAGUAUCCUGAAAGGGAGAGGAUGAUAUUACUCCCCAUAACAGACAGAUAUGACUCCCCAUCGUAGAGCACGAGGUCUACACCCGCCCUGUGAUUUUCUUCCUCAUAUUCAGAGACCGAGAGGUUGAUGUCACUCCCAAUAUCGGAGGAAGUAUACACCCCCAUGUGAGAUGUUCCUUAAUGAUAUUCCACGGCGGAGGGGGUGAUAUGACUACAUACAUGGCAGAAAGUGGAAACCCCCCAGGGAUAUUAUUCCCACGAUCCUGGAGGGAAGAAGAUGAUGUUACUUUCAAUAUGACAGAAGGUGGAUGAAGUGGUGGACUGCCCCUCCACACCUGUGGACACGCCCCCACUGAUAUUCCUUCUAAUUGCAACGUGGGAGAGGAGGAUAUGACACGCGAUAUCGCAGGGAGCAGAAACACCCCUGUGAUACUGUUCUUCAUAUUCAGGGAGGAAGAGGAUGAUAUUACUCCCAAUACAGACGGGUGUACACCCUCUGUACACCGAGGGUGUACACCCGUCUGUGAAAGAGUUCGUAAUCUCCAGAGGGGGAGAUGAUAUUACUCACAAUAUGGUAAAGAGGCUGUGAGUCCACGGAGGAUCCUCAGAGCCAGCGGGGGAAGAGGGGCUGGCUCUGAGACCCCGCCUCGCUGGGGGAGCCUCCCCCCACUGCGAUGGGGGUCCUAAGAGACAGUGGGGGAAGAGGGGCUGGCUCUGAGACCCCGCCUCGCUGGGGGUGCCUCCCCCCCCUGCGAUGGGGGUCCUAAAGGCCAGUGGGGGAAGAGGGGCUGGCUCUGAGACCCCGCCUCGCUGGGGGUGCCUCCCCCCCCUCCGAUGGGAGUCCUAAGGGCCAGUGGGGGAAGAGGGGCUGGCUCUGAGACCCCGCCUCGCUGGGGGUGCCUCCCCCCACUGCGAUGGGGGUCCUAAGAGACAGUGGGGGAAGAGGGGCUGGCUCUGAGACCCCGCCUCACGGGGGGUGCCUCGCUCCCCUACGAUGGGAGUCCUAAGGGCCAGUGGGGGAAGAGGGGCUGGCUCUGAGAACCCGCCUCACGGGGGGUGCCUCCCCCCCCUGCGAUGGGGUUCCUAAGGGCCAGUGGGGGAAGAGGGGCUGGCUCUCUGUACCCGCCUCGCGGGGGGUGCCUCCCCCCCCCCCCCCGUGAUGGGGGUCCUAAGAGCCAGGAGCAGAAGAGGGGCUGGCUCUCUGUACCCCCCUCGCGGGGGGUGCCUCCCCCCCCGUGAUGGGGGUCCUAAGAGGCAGAAGGCUUAGAGGGGCUGGCUCUCAGUCCCCGCCUCGUGGGGGGUGCCUCCUCCCCCUGCGACGGGGGUCCUAAAGGCCAGUGGGGGAAGAGGGGCUGGCUCUGAGACCCCGCCUCACUGGGGGUGCCUCCCCUCACUGCGAUGGGGGUCCUAAGGGCCAGUGGGGGAAGAGGGGCUGGCUCUGAGACCCCGCCUCGCUGGGGGUGCCUCCUCCCCCUGCGAUGGGGGUCCUAAGAGCCGGGGGGGAAGAGGGGCUGGCUCUCAGUCCCCGCCUCGCGGGGAGUGCCUCCCCUUCCUGCGAUGGGGGUCCUAAGAGCCAGGAGGGGAAGAGGGGCUGGCUUUCAGUCACCACAGCUUGCGGGGCCUUUAUGUUCUGGUUUUACCCAAGAGUCAGCUGAUUUGCUUCUUGUACUAGCAGGGCAGUUGCUGCCAAGGCCCUCAAACAGGGGGGCCAUCCUUUAGAAACCCUGUCUAGCUGUUUAGAGAGGUAGGCCACCGGCCUCAGCCAGGGCCCCACAGUUUGGGUUUAAAGUCCAGCUGCCAUCUUUUCUCUGACGCAUACAGUGGAAAAGGCUUUGUGAGAUCCGCUAGCCCCUGGGCUGGGGCUUUCAGAAGUUUUUCCUUUAAGUCAUGAAAGACUUGCUGUUGUUGGAAUCCCCAUUCCAAAUGUUCCCGGUCCCCGCCCCCUUUGUGACGUCAUACAAAGGCGUGGCUAAUACUGCAAAGUUGGGCUCCCCAGUCUACAAAACCACACAGCUCCUAGGAAUUCUCUCACCAGCCUUCUGCCCUUAGGCUCCGGAAGAUUGGAAAUGACCUGCUUUCUUUCGGAUCCCGGGCUGCUUUCGGACACCUGUCGAAUAGUAAAUCCCAAGUAAGCUACCUGCGGUCGUCGGCAGAUCUGAGUUUUCUUCUUGGACACCUAAUACCCACAGCCCUCCAGGUCGGUCCUAAGGAUCUUAGAAUCCUCGAUGGGGGUCAUAAGCCAGGUGGGGAAGAGAGACUGGCUCUCAGUCCCCGCCUCGCGGGGUGUGCCUCCCCCGUGUGAUGGGGAUCCUCAGUUGGGCGAGGAAGAAGGGCUGGCUCUCAGUCACCGCCUCGCGGGGGGUGCCUCCCCUCCCUGCGAUUGGGGUCCUAAGAGCCAGGGGGGAAAGAGUGGCUGGCUCACAGUCCCCGCCUCGCGGGGGGUGCCUCCCCCCCUGCGAUGGGGGUCCCGAGAGCCAGGGGGGGAAGAGCGGCUGGCUCUAAGUCCGCGCCUCGCCAGGGGUGCAUCCCCCCACUGCGAUGGGGGUCCUAAGAGCCAGGGGAGGAAGAAGGGCUGACUCUCAGUCCCCGGCUCGCGGGGGUGCCUUGCUACCCUGCGAUGGGGGUCCUAAGAGCCAGGCAGGGAAGAGGGGUUGGCUCCCAGUCCCCGCCGCGCGGGGGGUGACUCCCCUCCCUGCAAUGGGGGUCCUAGGAGCCAGGGGGGAAAGAGCGGCUGGCUCUCAGUCCCCGCCUCGCGGGGGUGCCUCCCCCCCCUGCGAUGGGGGUCCUAAGAGAAAUGGAGGGAAGAGGGGCUGGCUCUCAGUCCCCGCGGCGCGGGGGGUGCCUCCCCCCCUGCGAUGGGGGUCCUAAGAGAAAUGGAGGGAAGAGGGGCUGGCUCUCAGUCCCCGCCUCGCGGGGGGUGCCUCCCCCCCUGCGAUGGGAGUCCUAAGAGAAAUGGAGGGAAGAGGGGCUGGCUCUCAGUCCCCGCCUCGCGGGGGGUGCCUCCCCCCCUGCGAUGGGAGUCCUAAGAGAAAUGGAGGGAAGAGGGGCUGGCUCUCAGUCCCCGCCGCGCGGGGGGUGCCUCCCCCCCUCGCGAUGCGGAUCCUAAGAGCCAGGGGGGGAAAAGGGGCUGGCUCAGUCCCCGCCUCGCGGGGGGUGGCUCACUCCGCUGAGAUGGGCAUCCUAAGAGCCAGGGGAGGAAGAGGGGGAGAGGAUGAUAAUUUCAGCAUCGCAGGCUGUGAUCACCCAGCCUGUUAAACUGUUAUUAGUAUCCUGAAAGGGAGAGGAUGAUAUUACUCCCCAUAACAGACAGAUAUGACUCCCCAUCGUAGAGCACGAGGUCUACACCCGCCCUGUGAUUUUCUUCCUCAUAUUCAGAGACCGAGAGGUUGAUGUCACUCCCAAUAUCGGAGGAAGUAUACACCCCCAUGUGAGAUGUUCCUUAAUGAUAUUCCACGGCGGAGGGGGUGAUAUGACUACAUACAUGGCAGAAAGUGGAAACCCCCCAGGGAUAUUAUUCCCACGAUCCUGGAGGGAAGAAGAUGAUGUUACUUUCAAUAUGACAGAAGGUGGAUGAAGUGGUGGACUGCCCCUCCACACCUGUGGACACGCCCCCACUGAUAUUCCUUCUAAUUGCAACGUGGGAGAGGAGGAUAUGACACGCGAUAUCGCAGGGAGCAGAAACACCCCUGUGAUACUGUUCUUCAUAUUCAGGGAGGAAGAGGAUGAUAUUACUCCCAAUACAGACGGGUGUACACCCUCUGUACACCGAGGGUGUACACCCGUCUGUGAAAGAGUUCGUAAUCUCCAGAGGGGGAGAUGAUAUUACUCACAAUAUGGUAAAGAGGCUGUGAGUCCACGGAGGAUCCUCAGAGCCAGCGGGGGAAGAGGGGCUGGCUCUGAGACCCCGCCUCGCUGGGGGAGCCUCCCCCCACUGCGAUGGGGGUCCUAAGAGACAGUGGGGGAAGAGGGGCUGGCUCUGAGACCCCGCCUCGCUGGGGGUGCCUCCCCCCCCUGCGAUGGGGGUCCUAAAGGCCAGUGGGGGAAGAGGGGCUGGCUCUGAGACCCCGCCUCGCUGGGGGUGCCUCCCCCCCCUCCGAUGGGAGUCCUAAGGGCCAGUGGGGGAAGAGGGGCUGGCUCUGAGACCCCGCCUCGCUGGGGGUGCCUCCCCCCACUGCGAUGGGGGUCCUAAGAGACAGUGGGGGAAGAGGGGCUGGCUCUGAGACCCCGCCUCGCUGGGGGUGCCUACCCCCCUUGCGAUGGGGGUCCUAAAGGCCAGUGGGGGAAGAGGGGCUGGCUCUGAGACCCCGCCUCGCUGGGGGUGCCUCCCCCCCCUCCGAUGGGAGUCCUAAGGGCCAGUGGGGGAAGAGGGGCUGGCUCUGAGAACCCGCCUCACGGGGGGUGCCUCGCUCCCCUACGAUGGGAGUCCUAAGGGCCAGUGGGGGAAGAGGGGCUGGCUCUGAGACCCCGCCUCGCGGGGGGUGCCUCCCCCCCCUGCGAUGGGGUUCCUAAGGGCCAGUGGGGGAAGAGGGGCUGGCUCUCUGUACCCGCCUCGCGGGGGGUGCCUCCCCCCCCGUGAUGGGGGUCCUAAGAGCCAGGAGCAGAAGAGGGGCUGGCUCUCUGUACCCCCCUCGCGGGGGUGCCUCCCCCCCCGUGAUGGGGGUCCUAAGAGCCAGAAGGCUUAGAGGGGCUGGCUCUCAGUCCCCGCCUCGUGGGGGGUGCCUCCUCCCCCUGCGACGGGGGUCCUAAAGGCCAGUGGGGGAAGAGGGGCUGGCUCUGAGACCCCGCCUCGCUGGGGGUGCCUCCCCUCACUGCGAUGGGGGUCCUAAGGGCCAGUGGGGGAAGAGGGGCUGGCUCUGAGACCCCGCCUCGCUGGGGGUGCCUCCUCCCCCUGCGAUGGGGGUCCUAAGAGCCGGGGGGGAAGAGGGGCUGGCUCUCAGUCACCACAGCUGGCGGGGCCUUUAUGUUCUGGUUUUACCCAAGAGUCAGCUGAUUUGCUUCUUGUACUAGCAGGGCAGUUGCUGCCAAGGCCCUCAAACAGGGGGGCCAUCCUUUAGAAACCCUGUCUAGCUGUUUAGAGAGGUAGGCCACCGGCCUCAGCCAGGGCCCCACAGUUUGGGUUUAAAGUCCAGCUGCCAUCUUUUCUCUGACGCAUACAGUGGAAAAGGCUUUGUGAGAUCCGCUAGCCCCUGGGCUGGGGCUUUCAGAAGUUUUUCCUGUAAGUCAUGAAAGACUUGCUGUUGUUGGAAUCCCCAUUCCAAAUGUUCCCGGUCCCCGCCCCCUUUGUGACGUCAUACAAAGGCGUGGCUAAUACUGCAAAGUUGGGCUCCCCAGUCUACAAAACCACACAGCUCCUAGGAAUUCUCUCACCAGCCUUCUGCCCUUAGGCUCCGGAAGAUUGGAAAUGACCUGCUUUCUUUCGGAUCCCGGGCUGCUUUCGGACACCUGUCGAAUAGUAAAUCCCAAGUAAGCUACCUGCGGUCGUCGGCAGAUCUGAGUUUUCUUCUUGGACACCUAAUACCCACAGCCCUCCAGGUCGGUCCUAAGGAUCUUAGAAUCCUCGAUGGGGGUCAUAAGCCAGGUGGGGAAGAGAGACUGGCUCUCAGUCCCCGCCUCGCGGGGUGUGCCUCCCCCGUGUGAUGGGGAUCCUCAGUUGGGCGAGGAAGAAGGGCUGGCUCUCAGUCACCGCCUCGCGGGGGGUGCCUCCCCUCCCUGCGAUUGGGGUCCUAAGAGCCAGGGGGGAAAGAGCGGCUGGCUCUCAGUCCCCGCCUCGCGGGGGGUGCCUCCCCCCCUGCGAUGGGGGUCCCGAGAGCCAGGGGGGGAAGAGCGGCUGGCUCUAAGUCCGCGCCUCGCCAGGGGUGCAUCCCCCCACUGCGAUGGGGGUCCUAAGAGCCAGGGGAGGAAGAAGGGCUGACUCUCAGUCCCCGGCUCGCGGGGGUGCCUUGCUACCCUGCGAUGGGGGUCCUAAGAGCCAGGCAGGGAAGAGGGGUUGGCUCCCAGUCCCCGCCGCGCGGGGGGUGACUCCCCUCCCUGCAAUGGGGGUCCUAGGAGCCAGGGGGGAAAGAGCGGCUGGCUCUCAGUCCCCGCCUCGCGGGGGGUGCCUCCCCCCCUGCGAUGGGGGUCCUAAGAGAAAUGGAGGGAAGAGGGGCUGGCUCUCAGUCCCCGCGGCGCGGGGGGUGCCUCCCCCCCUGCGAUGGGGGUCCUAAGAGAAAUGGAGGGAAGAGGGGCUGGCUCUCAGUCCCCGCCUCGCGGGGGGUGCCUCCCCCCCUGCGAUGGGAGUCCUAAGAGAAAUGGAGGGAAGAGGGGCUGGCUCUCAGUCCCCGCCGCGCGGGGGGUGCCUCCCACCCUCGCGAUGCGGAUCCUAAGAGCCAGGGGGGGAACAGGGGCUGGCUCAGUCCCCGCCUCGCGGGGGGUGGCUCACUCCGCUGAGAUGGGCAUCCUAAGAGCCAGGGGAGGAAGAGGGGGAGAGGAUGAUAAUUUCAGCAUCGCAGGCUGUGAUCACCCAGCCUGUUAAAUUGUUAUUAGUAUCCUGAAAGGGAGAGGAUGAUAUUACUCCCCAUAACAGACAGAUAUGACUCCCCAUCGUAGAGCACGAGGUCUACACCCGCCCUGUGAUUUUCUUCCUCAUAUUCAGAGACCGAGAGGUUGAUGUCACUCCCAAUAUCGGAGGAAGUAUACACCCCCAUGUGAGAUGUUCCUUAAUGAUAUUCCACGGCGGAGGGGGUGAUAUGACUACAUACAUGGCAGAAAGUGGAAACCCCCCAGGGAUAUUAUUCCCACGAUCCUGGAGGGAAGAAGAUGAUGUUACUUUCAAUAUGACAGAAGGUGGAUGAAGUGGUGGACUGCCCCUCCACACCUGUGGACACGCCCCCACUGAUAUUCCUUCUAAUUGCAACGUGGGAGAGGAGGAUAUGACACGCGAUAUCGCAGGGAGCAGAAACACCACUGUGAUACUGUUCUUCAUAUUCAGGGAGGAAGAGGAUGAUAUUACUCCCAAUACAGACGGGUGUACACCCUCUGUACACCGAGGGUGUACACCCGUCUGUGAAAGAGUUCGUAAUCUCCAGAGGGGGAGAUGAUAUUACUCACAAUAUGGUAAAGAGGCUGUGAGUCCACGGAGGAUCCUCAGAGCCAGCGGGGGAAGAGGGGCUGGCUCUGAGACCCCGCCUCGCUGGGGGAGCCUCCCCCCACUGCGAUGGGGGUCCUAAGAGACAGUGGGGGAAGAGGGGCUGGCUCUGAGACCCCGCCUCGCUGGGGGUGCCUCCCCCCCCUGCGAUGGGGGUCCUAAAGGCCAGUGGGGGAAGAGGGGCUGGCUCUGAGACCCCGCCUCGCUGGGGGUGCCUCCCCCCCCUCCGAUGGGAGUCCUAAGGGCCAGUGGGGGAAGAGGGGCUGGCUCUGAGACCCCGCCUCGCUGGGGGUGCCUCCCCCCACUGCGAUGGGGGUCCUAAGAGACAGUGGGGGAAGAGGGGCUGGCUCUGAGACCCCGCCUCGCUGGGGGUGCCUCCCCCCACUGCGAUGGGGGUCCUAAGAGACAGUGGGGGAAGAGGGGCUGGCUCUGAGAACCCGCCUCACGGGGGGUGCCUCGCUCCCCUACGAUGGGAGUCCUAAGGGCCAGUGGGGGAAGAGGGGCUGGCUCUGAGAACCCGCCUCACGGGGGGUGCCUCCCCCCCCUGCGAUGGGGUUCCUAAGGGCCAGUGGGGGAAGAGGGGCUGGCUCUCUGUACCCGCCUCGCGGGGGGUGCCUCCCCCCCCGUGAUGGGGGUCCUAAGAGCCAGGAGCAGAAGAGGGGCUGGCUCUCUGUACCCCCCUCGCGGGGGGUGCCUCCCCCCCCGUGAUGGGGGUCCUAAGAGCCAGAAGGCUUAGAGGGGCUGGCUCUCAGUCCCCGCCUCGUGGGGGGUGCCUCCUCCCCCUGCGACGGGGGUCCUAAAGGCCAGUGGGGGAAGAGGGGCUGGCUCUGAGACCCCGCCUCGCUGGGGGUGCCUCCCCUCACUGCGAUGGGGGUCCUAAGGGCCAGUGGGGGAAGAGGGGCUGGCUCUGAGACCCCGCCUCACUGGGGGUGCCUCCUCCCCCUGCGAUGGGGGUCCUAAGAGCCGGGGGGGAAGAGGGGCUGGCUCUCAGUCACCACAGCUGGCGGGGCCUUUAUGUUCUGGUUUUACCCAAGAGUCAGCUGAUUUGCUUCUUAUACUAGCAGGGCAGUUGCUGCCAAGGCCCUCAAACAGGGGGGCCAUCCUUUAGAAACCCUGUCUAGCUGUUUAGAGAGGUAGGCCACCGGCCUCAGCCAGGGCCCCACAGUUUGGGUUUAAAGUCCAGCUGCCAUCUUUUCUCUGACGCAUACAGUGGAAAAGGCUUUGUGAGAUCCGCUAGCCCCUGGGCUGGGGCUUUCAGAAGUUUUUCCUGUAAGUCAUGAAAGACUUGCUGUUGUUGGAAUCCCCAUUCCAAAUGUUCCCGGUCCCCGCCCCCUUUGUGACGUCAUACAAAGGCGUGGCUAAUACUGCAAAGUUGGGCUCCCCAGUCUACAAAACCACACAGCUCCUAGGAAUUCUCUCACCAGCCUUCUGCCCUUAGGCUCCGGAAGAUUGGAAAUGACCUGCUUUCUUUCGGAUCCCGGGCUGCUUUCGGACACCUGUCGAAUAGUAAAUCCCAAGUAAGCUACCUGCGGUCGUCGGCAGAUCUGAGUUUUCUUCUUGGACACCUAAUACCCACAGCCCUCCAGAGACCGAGAGGUUGAUGUCACUCCCAAUAUCGGAGGAAGUAUACACCCCCAUGUGAGAUGUUCCUUAAUGAUAUUCCACGGCGGAGGGGGUGAUAUGACUACAUACAUGGCAGAAAGUGGAAACCCCCCAGGGAUAUUAUUCCCACGAUCCUGGAGGGAAGAAGAUGAUGUUACUUUCAAUAUGACAGAAGGUGGAUGAAGUGGUGGACUGCCCCUCCACACCUGUGGACACGCCCCCACUGAUAUUCCUUCUAAUUGCAACGUGGGAGAGGAGGAUAUGACACGCGAUAUCGCAGGGAGCAGAAACACCACUGUGAUACUGUUCUUCAUAUUCAGGGAGGAAGAGGAUGAUAUUACUCCCAAUACAGACGGGUGUACACCCUCUGUACACCGAGGGUGUACACCCGUCUGUGAAAGAGUUCGUAAUCUCCAGAGGGGGAGAUGAUAUUACUCACAAUAUGGUAAAGAGGCUGUGAGUCCACGGAGGAUCCUCAGAGCCAGCGGGGGAAGAGGGGCUGGCUCUGAGACCCCGCCUCGCUGGGGGAGCCUCCCCCCACUGCGAUGGGGGUCCUAAGAGACAGUGGGGGAAGAGGGGCUGGCUCUGAGACCCCGCCUCGCUGGGGGUGCCUCCCCCCCCUGCGAUGGGGGUCCUAAAGGCCAGUGGGGGAAGAGGGGCUGGCUCUGAGACCCCGCCUCGCUGGGGGUGCCUCCCCCCCCUCCGAUGGGAGUCCUAAGGGCCAGUGGGGGAAGAGGGGCUGGCUCUGAGACCCCGCCUCGCUGGGGGUGCCUCCCCCCACUGCGAUGGGGGUCCUAAGAGACAGUGGGGGAAGAGGGGCUGGCUCUGAGACCCCGCCUCGCUGGGGGUGCCUCCCCCCACUGCGAUGGGGGUCCUAAGAGACAGUGGGGGAAGAGGGGCUGGCUCUGAGAACCCGCCUCACGGGGGGUGCCUCGCUCCCCUACGAUGGGAGUCCUAAGGGCCAGUGGGGGAAGAGGGGCUGGCUCUGAGAACCCGCCUCACGGGGGGUGCCUCCCCCCCCUGCGAUGGGGUUCCUAAGGGCCAGUGGGGGAAGAGGGGCUGGCUCUCUGUACCCGCCUCGCGGGGGGUGCCUCCCCCCCCGUGAUGGGGGUCCUAAGAGCCAGGAGCAGAAGAGGGGCUGGCUCUCUGUACCCCCCUCGCGGGGGGUGCCUCCCCCCCCGUGAUGGGGGUCCUAAGAGCCAGAAGGCUUAGAGGGGCUGGCUCUCAGUCCCCGCCUCGUGGGGGGUGCCUCCUCCCCCUGCGACGGGGGUCCUAAAGGCCAGUGGGGGAAGAGGGGCUGGCUCUGAGACCCCGCCUCGCUGGGGGUGCCUCCCCUCACUGCGAUGGGGGUCCUAAGGGCCAGUGGGGGAAGAGGGGCUGGCUCUGAGACCCCGCCUCGCUGGGGGUGCCUCCUCCCCCUGCGAUGGGGGUCCUAAGAGCCGGGGGGGAAGAGGGGCUGGCUCUCAGUCCCCGCCUCGCGGGGAGUGCCUCCCCUUCCUGCGAUGGGGGUCCUAAGAGCCAGGAGGGGAAGAGGGGCUGGCUUUCAGUCACCACAGCUUGCGGGGCCUUUAUGUUCUGGUUUUACCGAAGAGUCAGCUGAUUUGCUUCUUGUACUAGCAGGGCAGUUGCUGCCAAGGCCCUCAAACAGGGGGGCCAUCCUUUAGAAACCCUGUCUAGCUGUUUAGAGAGGUAGGCCACCGGCCUCAGCCAGGGCCCCACAGUUUGGGUUUAAAGUCCAGCUGCCAUCUUUUCUCUGACGCAUACAGUGGAAAAGGCUUUGUGAGAUCCGCUAGCCCCUGGGCUGGGGCUUUCAGAAGUUUUUCCUGUAAGUCAUGAAAGACUUGCUGUUGUUGGAAUCCCCAUUCCAAAUGUUCCCGGUCCCCGCCCCCUUUGUGACGUCAUACAAAGGCGUGGCUAAUACUGCAAAGUUGGGCUCCCCAGUCUACAAAACCACACAGCUCCUAGGAAUUGUCUCACCAGCCUUCUGCCCUUAGGCUCCGGAAGAUUGGAAAUGACCUGCUUUCUUUCGGAUCCCGGGCUGCUUUCGGACACCUGUCGAAUAGUAAAUCCCAAGUAAGCUACCUGCGGUCGUCGGCAGAUCUGAGUUUUCUUCUUGGACACCUAAUACCCACAGCCCUCCAGGUUGAAUGCCUUUGAGAACUUGAUGCAUAAAAUUUGCAUGACUCCUCACUCCUUUCUGGAUCUCUCAUUGGACUCAAGCCAGCAUGGCUCACACCACAAAGGUUAACGGCAGUGCCUCAGAGCUUGAAUUCUAGAGGCAUUCUAACAGGCUUUGAAGACUGAUUUUACCACAUGUCAUAUAUGUGGCCUUGGAAAUGAAAACAUGAUAUGUAACUCCCGUGCCCAGGAAAAAUAUAAGAAUACAGGCCACACAUAACUUGGAGUGAUGAUUUAUUUUAUUCCCAUUGCUGUAGAAUGUUGAUAUCCAUGGAGUAAGUUUGCUCAAUAUUCUGCUUAAGGGUUAAUCUUUCUGAAACUAAGUAGGUAUGAGCUCUGUAAACUGAUAUUCCUGUUAAUGUACAAGUGUUGACAAGACUAGAAGCUUUUCAGUUAUUUAUAUGUAAGCUGUAUUUUGAACCAUAUCUACACAGAUACCAACCAUUAAUCUACAGCAAAAAUUCACAAUUACUAACUGGUUACUUUCUUUUAUGUAUACAUACGCACUAUAUGAAUUUUGUUUUUUGGUAAUAUAGUUAUUUAAGUACAGACAUUUAAUUCUCCCCAGUCAAAAUGCCUCACUGAAUUAUCCAGGAAAUUAUAAAACUGGAAAAAAUAUCUCUUAGUUAAAUAAACCAAGAAAGUAUAAAGGGUAUAUUAGAAACUUUGAGAGUCUGUGCUUUCUCUCUGAUACAGUUUAGAUGUAUGAUCCUGAAGAAAGGCAUCAGAGAUUUUACUUGGGUACAAUUAAUAUCCCAAUAUCCACAAAUCUGAACAAAAUAAUUACACAUAAUAUUUUAAAAAUAUAUUUAAUAACAUAAAUAGCCCUGUAAUGCAAAUAAGAAUUGGAAAUACUUCUAGAUAUUGUUACAAACAAUGAAGAUAUUUGAAUACAAUGAAAAAAAAAAGAUUUACAAAUGUUUCAGAUUUUACUCCUGUUUCUGAUGGUACCUUAACUUCAACAAUAAACCAAUCAACUUAUCUUCAAGUAUUCCUACUUUGAAGAUUAUUGAGUUUUUAAAUUACUAACUAAUUUGGAACAUUUUAGGCUUGCCAACAUUAGAAUCAGGAUUGAAAAUGUGGACUCAUUUAUCUAAUGUUUAGCUUUGAUAAAAGGUGGCAUAAUGCAGAACAAAUUCAAGUUGAGUACAAACAGGCUACUGCAUAGCUAAUGAAACUAUUACCAUGGUGACUGUACAAUCAAGGUGACAUGAGUGUCAUAGCACACUCGAAGCUGGAUGCAGCCUUCCUAUUGAAUUCUCUAGAAACCAAUCAAGUGUUCCAUCUGAUGAACCCCAAAUCUUUCCAGUUCUAAUACACAGCAGUGAUGAGAGAACAUUUUUAUUCUACUCUUCUUAUUAGACUAAUAAGAAUAAAGAUACUUUUCUAAUUGUAAGUAUUCAUUUUGUUGUAUUUUUGUAUAUCAGAGGAAAUUCAUUUUAGGCAAAAAGCUGUACAAAGAACAAUUUUAAAUUAUUUCUCCUUAAAAAUAAAAGAUUAUGAAGAAAAUCAUCAGAAGGGAUCUUCUUUCAAAUCAUGGCCAUUUGGGAACAUCCUAAAAUAAUAAAUGAAUAAAGAAAUUCACUGUGUAGUCGGUUUUCUGUUGGUAGUCUAAGAGUCAUAGUUUAGCAUAAAAUUAAGCUGAUGACUAUAGAAAAAGAAAGGCUGAUUAGCUAGACUGCUAGUCACUUUAUUUAUUUUUUACAACUUUCCAUUAAUAAAGGGACCUCACCUGCAUUUUCCUCUUUUUACUCAAGAAAUUUCCCUAAUGCCUCAAGUACAAGUUGCUGCUCUAAAAUAAUUUUCUUCUUCACAAUGUUAUGUAAAGAUGUUAAUGGCCACAUCUUGGUCAUUGAAUAGGGUCCGAGUAGUAGUUAACAAGGUGACAGAGGGCCUGGAUUAUAUACCACCUAUUUCUUUAACCUUUUUUGGUGACAUUGGAGAUAUUGUUUCAACUCCCUGGGCCUUAAUUUUUGUCAUUUAUAAAAUUAGCAAGAAACAAAUAAGAAAAUUCCCUUCCAGCUCUAAAAUUGAAAACCUUUAUUUUUAUUUAUUUAUUUAUUUAAAUUAAAUUGUCCUUAUCUAAAUGGUAGAAAGAACUCUUACUGAAGGAACUAACCACUAGAUCUUUACAUUUUGUCUCAGGUUUUCUGUUGUUGUUUUACCAGCUUAAAAAUUUCCAACAUGCAAAGUAGAGGUCUCAGGCAAAGUUCUGAUUUCUGUGGAAUGAUAUCCGAGAUUUGAGUUCAUGGAGAUUAGAAGCGUUAAUGGAAAGAGGUUAAUAACAAACUGAAGUCACAUUCGCAGUUUCAGAAACUUAUAGAAAAGGGUGAAAGGGGCCCUGUGUGGUGGCUCAUGCCUGUAAUCCCAGCACUUUGGGAGGCUGAGGCGGGUGGAUCCCCUGAGGUCAGGAGUUCGAAAUCAGCCUGGCCGAUAUGGUGAAACCCUGUCUCUACUAAAAAUAAAAAAUUAGCUGGGCUUGGUGGCAGGCAUCUGUAAUCCCAGCUACUUGGGAGGCUGAGGCAGGAGAAUCGAUUGAACCCAGGGAGCAGAGGUUGCAGUGAGCUGAGAUUGUACCACUGCACUCCAGCCUGAGAGGGAAAAAGAAAAAGAGAGAGAAAGAGAGAAGGAGAGAGAGAGAAAGAAAAGAAAGAAAGAAAAAAAAAGAAAAAAAAGAAAGUAAGAGAAAGAAAGAAAGAGGGUUAAAGGGCUUUAAAGUCUCAGUUUAAGGGACUUUUCUUAAGUAGUGUCCUUAGUACAAACCACCUUAUUUCGGUGGUUGUAGAAUGUCAAUAAAAAGAUUGUGGAUGGAAGGCAUAUUUUGAGUCCCAAUUCAUUGGUCCAGUUAGAAAUACGUGACAUUGUAGAGAUAGACUGUAAAAUUAAUAGAGAUAGACUGUAAAAUUAAUACUCCACACUGUUUUCUAUAAAACCAUUCUUUGAAGAGGAAAACUUGAAAGCUAUAUAUCAAAGAGCUAUGGAAAACAAAGGAAGAAUAUUUGAAAUCCAUUCUCUGUAUAUGUAAAGCCACAAUAUUUCAGAGCCAAAUGUCUAUGGAAAUGGGAUAUGGGCCUGUAGUUUCUAAAUAUGUCAUUUCCGCCUGCACAAUUGAUAUAGUAUGUGUUUUUUUGAGGACAUACUCAGAAUGGUCCUUUCAGUUAGAACGUAAGUUUAUCUGAAUAUAAAAUUUGGAUAAUAAGAAUGCAACUUUUUGAAACUAAUUUGAAUUACAUCUUCCCUUGUUGAGUGACUAGCUGAAGUUUCAUAAUCCAAGGAUUUGGGAAAAAGAAGCCAAGUUGAAUUCUUUUAAAAUAUGGGUCUAUGUAGUUUUUCCUGAAAGAAUUUUGAUGUUUCUUUUGGUACUUUUCUCUCACCCUAUGAAGAUUGUACAGAACUGUUGCAGCAUAUUCAGGCGCUGAAUACCUUACCUCAUUACCCAUGAGUUAAAUUGGAGCUAGGAAGGAUUUCAGAUGAUUUAUAUGCUAAUUAGAAUUCUCUUGAAAAACAAAUAGAAAACAUGGGUUAUGGUGGUGUAAUGAAAUCUUCAAAACAAAGAUCCAGAGCUUUCUUGUGGUAUGCACUAAAUAAGAGAGCUAGUAAAUUGGGGGAUGGAAUGUUUUAGUCAAUAAAAUUGAUGUCAUUUUGUACUUGUAUAAGUCUCAUCUCUUUUUACAAAUAAGAAUCUGCAGUUAAUUUGAGCUUGUCAAUGCAACAGUAUCUGUUGUAGUUCAUUGAUUCCUCUGAUGAUAGUAAAGGAUGGUUUUCAUGGGCAGAGAUUUUAUGUUUUGAAGUUAUAGAAAAACUUCCAAAAAACCCACACUUGUUUAGUUUAGAAAGGGGAAAGCAUGUACAGCUUUUUAAAUAGUCAUAUUUCUAUAAACUCAAAAAUUUAAAUGUGAAACUGUUAUUUAAAGUUAUUUGCAAGCGUAUAAUUGGUUGAAAACAUUUCUCCAGGUCUUACAAAAUUUCGAUAACCUUGAAAUCAUUACAAAAUACAAUACAACUUAGGAAUCUAAUGAUUUUCUGAGUGUAUUGCUGUGAGGGUUAGAAAAUGCAUUCAUUCUAAAUACUGUCUUGUCUGCCUCAAUGAGAAGUUGCAAUAUUGUUUGUUUGUCAAGCAGCUUGAAAAGCUAGACAAUGCUGUUAGGAACGAUAUGGAAAUGAUAGGUAGAGAGAUUAUUUUUACCUGCUGCUUUGUUAUUUGGUAAACUCAUGAUGGUAAUGGUUUUCUUAUCCUUUCAUUCGUAAUGAAUUGGCAUAAUAAGAACUGCAGCCUGCUUAAAAAAAAAAAUCACUGUGUAAUCACAGCAGUGGUAGCAAAUUCAUCUGAGAAACAACAUCCAGUCACUUCUGUGACAGACAUUUAUAAACUUAUUUGAGAAACCAUGAACUCUUUUUAUAUUAGACAAAUGAGCUUUAUAUACUCUUCAUUUAAAAAUUCUUUCACUGCCUUCUGCUACCUGUAUGGAUGUAGUGUUCUAUGAAUGAUUUUGAUGUACUAUUCAAUUGAGCAUUUUAUUUCUCACUAUUUCUACUUCUUUGCACAUUUUUUGUUUUUUUCUCAUAUAAAGUAAGAAUAUUAAGAUUGGAAUUUUAAUAGUUUCAUAUAGAACAAUUAAUGUGACAGCCUCUUAGUUAUUUGGUUUAUGGCUUAGUAGGACAAAGUAUAAAAUUUCAUGAAUGUGAUUAUGAGAGGAGGUAAUUCUGCUUUCCUUUCCAAUUAUUUAUUGACACCAUCUCCAUGCCUUAUAACUGUACUUGUUAGCCAGUUAAGAAGUAAUCAUAGGGUUGGAUUUGUGCAGAACAGAACUAUUUAGGAAUUCUUUUGGCUAAGGUCAAGGAGAGGGAGGGAGAAAGCAAAGGUAGUUUUUUACUUUCAGUAUUACAAUUGUAUUAUAUCAGAAAAAUCCCACCAGAGCAUAUGACAGAGAGGUUUGGGUGCUAGAGGGAAUAGCAGGUUGACUGCUGUGUCAUUUAGAGCAGUAACACAGAUACGAGGCUCAAUAAUGCAGGACAAAGAGAAUUUGAAUACAUAUUUGUUAUGCUAAUAUUAAAUUUCUUAUGUUACAUUAAUCUUUCUUUAGGCCUGAAGUAUAUCUUUUUCCAUGGUGAAAUCAUCCCAAAAUGAUAUUAACAUGAUUAAUAGCUUCUCCAGACCUGGCUAACUCCCUGGGCUUGCACCAAGGUAGGUGUGGAGGUGGGGCUGAGGUAUGAAAAUAUCUCCCCCUCCACCCCCACAUCACAGAGCAAUACUUUCUUAUUUCUAAGAGGAAAAAAUCAGUAAUAUAUUAGCAACAAAAAAAUAUGAAACAUGAGAGUUUAUGGAAACACAUUAAAAAACAAGUAAGAAUCAAGUGAAACUUCAUUUUGUUUGAGGACAGUGUGAAUAAUGUCUUCACUUUCUCUAAUGAGCGAAUUUGUUUUCCAAAACCAUAGAAAUAUAAAUAACUUCUGAUUCAUUUCCUGGCAAGAGCUAACUGUAUUACUGUAGAUUAUUAUUAUUUUUUCUCACUGCUUCUGUUGACACUGAUUACUAUAGAUUAUACCUCUCCAAUUGUAUUACUUCUUUUAGUGGCUCUGGUUGUAAUUUGUAGGACAGGAGAAAGGAUAUUUAGGAAGUGAAAAUUAAGGUCCACGUACUCUUACAGCAGUAUUCUAAAGAACACCCACUCACGUCACCUAUAAAGGGCAGGAAUAUCCUGCUCACACUUCCUAAGCAGAAAGCUUGCAUUUUAUUUUAAAUUACAGUAGUCCCCCUUUAUCCACGGUUUUGCUUUCUGCAGUUUCAGUUAUCCAUGGACCAUCAUGAUCCAAAAAUAUUAAGUGAAAAAUUUUAUAAAUAAACGAUUCAUAAGUUUUAAAUUGUGUACUGAUCGGAGUAGCUUGAUGAAAUCUCAUUUGGGUGCUUCAACACGCUUUGUGCAGUGCAUCCGCACUGUCUAUGCUACCCAUCCGUUAGCCACUAAGAGUCAUCUCAGUUAUCACAUGGACUGUUAUAGUGUUCAAGUAGCCCUUAUUUUACUUAAUGAUAGCCCCAAAGUGCAAGAGUACUAUGUCUAAUGUAUAAAUUAAACUUUAUUAUAGGUAUAUAGUAUAGAAAAAAACACUGUACACAGGAUUCAAUACUAUCUGCAGUUUCAGGCAUCCCACUGGGGAUCUUAGAACACAUCUUCUGCAGAUAAGCCGGGCUCUUGUACUCCUUCACCUUCUUCCUGUUAAUUUAUAGAAAAUGGAAUAGUAGUAUUGAACUGUAUCAAAGGCCAGUGAGCCCAAUCUGACAUGUCCGGAAGGUAUUGCUGGAUCAGGCUGAAGACUGACCAAAGGAAGUCACACAAAGAGAAAGGCAGUAUCAGAGAGCCUUCUCAUCUUCCCAAAUCACCUUUUCCUUAAAGUGAGGGAACAGUUGAUUUGACUCAAGAAAUUCCUGAGAGUCUAGUGUCACUGGGCUUGUGUGGAAUGUGGCUCCUUCCUUUUUCUGUGUUUCUCAAGGAUUGACUAUGCACAGCUGCGCUGGGCUCACCUUUCAGACGAAGUCCUCAUGAGGUAAGGAAAUGAGGUCAGGCCAAGUCACUUCACUGUGCUCUUUGUUCAGCUCCCUUUCCUCUCAUGACAUAUGUUAAUUCAGCUUCCACAGUCACUGUGGUCUCAGGAUUGGCACAGGAAGCAUUUUUAUUAGGGUCCAUGCUGUAUUUUCCAUCUGCUUCAUCAAGGAUCCCUGUGAUGAUGCUGAUGAGUCUCUCUGAAAUUCUUUCUGUUCUUUUUCUACUUCAUUGCACAGAACCCUUGAGGUAAGUAGGAAUGCACCUUGAAAAUGACCAUAACUACAUAUGUUAGCAUAGAAGUGGUAUUGUAAUUGGAGAUAAUUCCUUUACCAGAGAUCAGUUUGCAUUGUUUUACAUACUUGGCUAUGGGUGACUUUUCUGCUGAUGUAAGUGAACUUAUGCUAAAAUGAAUGAAAUAUAGGUUUUUGAAAAUCAGUUCCUUAAUCACACAGAAACACUUUCAGCCUUAGAGCUGUUUAGUGAAUAAUGAAAUUAAGUAGGUAAUAGUGUAAUUAAUUCUAAUAUAGUUAUUUGUUUACUUCCAAGUGCCAAUAUACAACUGACUAUAAUAAAUUGUGGUACCUCUGGGAUGUCAACAAAUAUUAAAGUAGACAAUUCCAAGAAUGUGAAAUAUGUGUUCGAAUAUGCAUAUCUACUUACAACUUGUAUUAAAUUGAUAUAAAGAUAAAUGUUAUAUAAUUCUGGAUUUUUAAGUGGUUUUAAUAUUGUAGAUUUAUAGUGAAAAAGGCUAGGAAUCUCAAGCUGUAAAUACCUCCCAAGUCCGUUCAAUUUGUGCAAGCAUAUAAUGAUUUUAAGAUAUAAUUUGAAAAAUAAGUCAUUCCUAAUAAAUGUUCAAAAGAUUGACUAUAUUUUGACCAAACAUUCUCUAUCUGUUAGCAAUCUAAAAAGCUUGAGUUGUUUUAUAAUUAUUUGUUUGUAUGCCUAGUGGUGUUUAUUUUUUUCUUUUUCAUAGUUAUUAAAUACUAGGUUUCAAUUAAAUUUAUUUAGCUCGGACUGAAUAAAUAUUACAAAUUAAUUAAUGGACUUAUGUGAAAGAACUUUGUCUUAAUUCCCUACCUUGUUUGAGUGAUUUUCUAACUUCUAAUUCUUCUUUAAUUUUAUACACACUUUGCAUUAAUUUUAUUAGUACAGUAUUCUAAGUACAUUAAUCUUCUCUGUCCUAAUUAGAUUGUCAAAAAUGCAUUAGUAUUAGUUCAUUUAUAACACCCAUUUAACAUUUACAUAUCACAAAAACAAAAUCAAAAAAUUAUGGGUACAUGACAAAGCCUAAGGGAUGGGAGAAGUUAGUUAUACAAGACAACUAAGCCAAAAAAAAAAAAAACAUUAAUAGAAUUGAAAGCAAAACUUGUCCUGGAGGCUUUUGACUUCCAGUGCAACAAGGGAUACAUGACUUGCAUUUGACUUGCUCUUAUUAGGUAAUAAAAUGGAAAAUACUGGUUCAAAAGGUAAGAAAGUGUUACUUUGAUAUAGAUUUCUGAAAGGGAUUUAUUGCAUGAGUUUGUUUUUUCUUCUAUAAUUGUAUCCCUCAUAUAUAUUGACCAUUUGCAACAGCAUAGUGAAAUGUUGAAGCACAUUUAUAAAAAGGAUUUCUGAGAUUAGUUAAGGAAACUUGGGAAUUAUGCCUGAUUCCUUCCUGUGCUUCCAUGCUCCACAUCACUUAACCAAAUAGUCUUCCAAAAAUGUCCCAAAUCACCAUUUUACAUCAUCAUCUUUCACAUUUCACAUCUGUGACACCAUCUUUCACAUUUCACAGUGUUGCAUCAUCUUUCAAAUUGUCAUUGUCUAUGUCACAUAUAACAGGCUCCUAAGUGUUUUCUCUCUUCCGUUUGUUCCUCUCCAAGUUAUUCUUCACAUUGCAAUCAGAGUGAGUUAUCUUAAAAUCCAAAUCUGAAAAUUGCUUCCCUUAUACCUCGUUCAUUACUUACUGCGCUUAGCACAAAUUUAAACUUAUUAAGCUAACAUACAAAAGACUUUCUGCCUUUCAAAAAAUAAAUUGUCAAAUAAUGAUCAUAUACAUUUACAGGGUAGAAUGUGAAGUUCUGAUAUAUGUGUGCCUCGUGGAAUUAUCAUAUCAAGAACAUAUUGAUGCUCUGAAAGAUAACCCCAGAAGAGUAUGAGGAGACAUACACAGUCUACACAGGCCUGUAAGCAACAAGAACAACAGAAAACGGGAUACGUGUGCGGAACAUGCAGGGCCUUGUCCCAAGAACCUACGUAGCUAUGAUGGACAAGAUUAAGUAACAAACCACACAAGGGCUGAAAGCUGCUGGAGAAGUGCUCUGGUCACCUGUCCUUAGGCAGUAAUUCUGGAAGAAACUGAAGCCUACCCAGAGGGUAGAUAUUGAGUCAGGAUCUAAACACAGUUGGACUUUACAGCUCUCAGGAUCGUAACACCUAACUUCUUCCAAAAAGUGAAAUGACUUUACUUCUAAUUUCCUCCAUUCAUCCAAUACCAUUUGAAAAUAGUGUCUGAGUGUAUACUAUUUUUCAAGCACUGUUCCUGGGAAUCCAGGUACACAGUAAACUUUAUAGACAAAGUUCCUGAUCUUAGUCCACCGUUCCAGUAGGAAAAGACAUCAACAUCGGGCCAAAUAGAUAAUAAAGAAAUAAAAGUUAAGAAAGUCUUAAGCGUACCAAAAAACAUAAAGCAAUGUCCUGGGAUAGAGGAUGACUGGUGCGUGUUAUGUUUGAUAUAAUAAUCCGGGAAAACGAAGUUACUAUUUGUUAAUGGAUCUGAAGUUUGAGAAGCCAGACAUAAUACAAAGAUCUAGUUGAUGAAUAUUCUAGGCAGGGCGCAGAUAAUUAAAUUUAGUUUAAAUCUUUUCAGUGAGGAGAGGCGAAGAGACUCUACUGAGUACCCAUUUAAAAUCCUACAUGAUUUGUAGGAUUGGAUCUUAGGAAGCACCAAGACUUAGCAGUUUUAUGGGGAGGGGUCGGGGAGUAAGAGAGAGAUUCCAUAGGUCUUGUGAGUUCCCAUUGGGUUAACAUUCAUCUUCUCUUGUACUUGAGAAAUGAGAAGAAAUGUGAAUACUGUAAAUGGAAAAACACUUAGGAAAGUUUUAUACGCAUUUUGCUUCCUUAUAGCUAAGAAGGGUAAUUUGCGUACUUUGUGGCUUGGAUGGUUUCUUUAAGACUCUCGCCAAUAAACAGACUGGUGAACGGAAGCCCCUUUAAGGUAACCUCACAUCCGAGCACAGAAACACAAGGCAGGAGACUCAGGCCUGGCUCUGCCAACCAUUUCUGUCCUGUCCUUGUGUUAUCAAAAAGUGAUAUUUUAUCCAUUCCUUCAUCUUUCCCAAGACUCUGGUAACAUUUUCCCCUUUUCCCUUAUUUCUGAAUUCUCUCUUUCUAUUGUUAACAAAUAAAAUAGCCCUACAUUUCUCUUUUUUAUCUUCAGUUUUUACACAUUAAUAAACAUACUGCAAAACAUAAAAUAGGAAGUGAAUCAUAGACACCACAGAAUAUUUUUUAAAGUAAUUUAGAAAAAGUUUUCUUUAUGAUUUCUAUAGGAAGAUGUCAAUUUGCCAAAUUCCUGAUUCUCUUUGUAUCUGAGUCCUUGAAGACUUCAAACUUACAUGAUUAAUUUAUAUAAACAAAUGUAUCCUUUAAUAUAUGUGAAUAGAAAGAUCAUAGUGAAAUUUUAAUGUUUUUAAUUUGUUCAGUGUAACUCUCACAUUCUUUGUUUUUGGGAAGUAAAUUAGCUUGUCAUCUCUUUGUUCUCUUAUAUAUAUAUUUUUUAUUUUCUUCAGCUUCCCGAGUUUUGCAGUUUUUUUUUUUUUCAAGGAGUAGCUUAGCAGCUAGAGGUGUUGUAAGCAUAAAAACAGAAAAAAACAGAAAUGUUUAUUAUCUGAGUUUUAGGAAACAGAGAAAGGACUUUUCUAAUGAGUCCUUAAAUGUAACAUAAAUCUUGUAUUAAGUCACUUUUAAAAUGGCAAGCUUUUAAGGUUAAAAAUUAUAAAUAAUUAAAGAUGACUGAUGUAUAAUUACAAUUCCAUUACAUACUCUGAAACAUUUUCAUGGAGAAGAUAGAUGGUAUAAAUGACCAACUAAUUAUUUUCUUUUAGAGAAGCAACUCCUAAUUGAAAGGCUACUAGCAAAUGAAAACGAAGAAAUGUACUGUUUUUGAUCAGGUGGUGUUUGGUGGAUGCAUGGGUACACUGCAUCUUACAGAAGAUGUGAAAGGGUGACACAUUUGAAGUGGGGACCAUUUGGAAUUUUGGCUGUCAUGCUGUUUAGGGCACUCUUCAUGAAGCGGCAUCAUUCAUCUGGGGUAAUAACUGAGGUUUCUUGCCUCACACCAAGAAAAUCAAAGAUGUGGACCCACAAGGAGUGACGUUAAGAGUGGAGAUUUAAUAGGUGAGAAAAAGAGAAAAGCUCUCUCUCCUGCAGAGAGAGAGAGAGGCUCCCAAGUGGGUCUUCUGGUUCCCUGGUGAAAUACAUGGGGUUUUAUAGACAAGCUUGAGGAGGUGGUGUCUGAUUAACAUAGGGCCCAAAAGAUUGGUUGGACCCAAUAUGUCAUUUACAUAAUGCAAGAAGAAGCUGGUCACCCCACCCUUAUCUUUUAUUAUGCUGAUGGGUUCUUUCCUUGGCCAGUGGCCAUGUCGGCUUUUUUUUUUUUUUUUUUGAGACGGAGUUGCCCUCUUGUUGCCCAGGCCAGAGUGCAAUGGCACAAUCUGUGAUCAUCGCAACCUCAGCCUCCUGGGUUCAAGCAAUUCUCCUGCCUCAGCCUCCUGAGUAGCUGGGACUACAGGCUGUGUCACCCCGCCUGACUAAUUUUGUGUUUUCAGUAGAGAAGGGUUUUCUCCAUAUUGUUCAGGCUGGUCUCGAACUGCUGACCUCAGGUGAUCCGCCUGCCUCGGCCUCCCAAAGUGCUGGGAUUACAGGCGUGAGCUAUCACACCUGGCUUGUUGCCUGCUUCUUUACUGCACAUGUGGCAGCAAAGAAAAAGAAAGAAGGAGCCUCCAUGUUGAACAUAUCUGACUUCCAGGUAUCCCUUUUCUAUUGGCACAGCUGUUGGCAUUCACCUGUGCCAGCUUCUAGCUUGCUCUUCUAUGUCUGCAGCUUGAUUUUUCAGGCUGCCCUUUGUUAGAAAAGAAAUGAUUUGGGGGCUGCAUUUUAUUAAAAGGGAAACCUUACCGAUGACUCUCUUACCCUCACUAACUGCCUAAUUUUUAGCUCCCGUAUCAAUCAUUCAGUUUCCAAAAUUUGAGGGUGUAGUUAUCCCUAAGUUGUCACCCAAAGCUAAUAAUUUUGAAUUCUGGGAACUGAGGAGAUCAUAGCUGACACACUAGAGUAUUAUAACUUGUAGAUAAAUAAACUCUACAGUAUCUACAGGCUGAAGAAGAGGGAAAGGAGGUGGGAACCACCACAGGGUUCUUUUCCCACCCUUUGUCUAAUUUUCACUUGCUUUUUGGAUCCAGAAUUUGUCUCUCUUCUCUUAACUAAAUAUGGGUAUAUGAAUUCAGCUUCAUGAGAAUUUUUGUUUUAUUGCCCCAAACUUACAUUAUUUGUGUGCUUAUUGGUAUUUUAUUUUAAAUAUCUGAAUGCUGCUUUUGGUCCUCUAAUUAUUCUUUGUAACAAACUACAAACUAUGGCUUUCUGUACCUUGUCUUGACUUCAUGGCUGCAUAAGCUUAGAGAGGAAAUGUUUUUCUAUGAAUAUAUUAAAUUCAAUAAUGUUUACAUUUUCUCUUCUUGUAUUGAUUUCAUUUCUUCCAGUUUGUUUUCACUAUUUGUUCAUUUUGUGCCUUUGUUUUGUAAUAAAGAUAUUCUUGAGCUAUCAGGUGAUCAUAGACUAUCCCUUCAUAUGUAAGAAAGAAGCAUGAAAAAAAUUUGUGAGCAUAAACAGAACUUAUAAAAUGGUGGUUUUUAUCGUAGUGUGAGUGGUAGGGAGCCAGUGGUUUUCACUGCAAAUAUUUUUAGACAUAUUUAUAUUAGUUAUGUAUAUAUUUGGGUAAGGUAGUAAUUUAUCAUAUAGGUAACAUCUCAAGUUCAACUGGGAGUCUUUCUCAUAACUUAGGAUCUUUCAUUUUCUUAGGAUCUCAGCGUGUCUUCAUCUUUCUAAUUUUUCAAAUUCUACACAAAAUUAAAGAAACAAUUAUUGGACCUAUCUUUUACCUUGGCCAAGUCAUGACUUUAGUCUCCUCUUGGAUGUAUUAGAGCAUAUGUCAAAUUCUUAAAAUCUGUUUGUAUCCCUUUGGGAACCCACAACGUUAAUUCUCAUGCUCAGAAGUGGUCCAUUCAAAUCCUAUAAAGUUCUAUAAAUUACAGAAUUAAUAAAUCAAAUAACUAGAAAACAUACUGAGAUGAUUCAAACCACUGAAGAAUGAAUCAGUGACCUGAUUACUAUUGAGAAAUGGAAUAUAAAACUUUUCCUAGGAAGUCACAUAUAUGCACACACACACACUCAUACAUAUACAUAUGUGUAUGCAUAUAUAUACAUAUAUAUUUUUAUAUAAUUUUAAUAUAAUCUAUAAUAUUUUGCACUUAUGGGCAUUUAUGUACAAUCAGUAAGUUUAAUUGCUCAGUAGUCGAGUGGGUCUAUUUUAAGCUUCUAAUUCAUUUACCAAGUAACUGGAGAAAACCAUUAAGAUAAUGAUGUUUUGUUUAUUUAAUCUGAAAAUUUUAAUUCAGUGGCUUUUAUGUGUCAGAUGCUGUUCUAGGAAAAUUACAAACUCCAGUCCUGAAGUUUUGGACCUUAUAUUUCAUUGAGGUAAUGUGUAAAUACAUAUGUAUGUAUACACACACAAAUAGUUGUAUAAUUACAUUUCAGGUAGUGAUAUUUUUAUGAAGAAAACCUGUCUUUGUUCUGGCUUUCUCUACAUUUAUCUUUUCAUAUUUGUCAGAUUUUCCUGAUCUUCAUUGAUUGCACAAUGUUAAUUCUCAACUCUCAUUUUCUUCACCAGGAUUGAUUACUUUUUGUAUUACUGUUUUGAUUUUUCAUUUUUGCCUGUAAUUCUCUGUGAUGUCAACUCUUGGUCAUGUUAAGGAUGUUUGUAUUCCUAAUAUAAUCAGUAAAAUAAUAAAUAGCUGUGAGCUCAAUACUUACGGACUUACUCUUUGCUAUACCUUCUCCAUCAUUUUUGCUUUAAUAUUACAAGCCUAUAUUUACUUUUCAUGUAUUGUUUCCAAGAGCCAAUAUUUUGGAUUCUCUGGCUAUGAAAAAGGCUUGACAAUAAUUUUGAUCAAAAAAUUCUCUAAUGGCUGCAGUGUCACAUGAAAGUUUCCUGUCAUUGGAUACAAACCAGGAAACUGUGAUGCAUCCUGUGAAACCUCAAACUUCUCCCCAGUUUGAAUAUCAAUAGCGUAGUCCUUAGUAGUAAUUUUACAUUCAGCACUUGGGUGAACCACACGCAGACACAGAUACAUUGCUCUUUUAUAAUUCAUACUAAUUUUAUCCAGUAAACAGAUUAAUAGAUUCUCCUGCUUUUUCUCUUUUGGGAAGAAACGUGUGUGUGUGUGUGCGCGCGCGAGUGCACGUGUGUGUAGUGCAUAUAUAUAUAUACAUGCAAGAAACAUAUAUAAUACACAUAUAUAUGACAUUGUUAAAAAUAAUUGAAACAGAAAGAAUUCAUGUAUGGACUCUUGUGUCCUCUGUUUUCUAGCUUUCUGUUUCCCUUUCUAUUGCCACUGUUGACACUUUUCUCAGGUCAUACAUAUAUGUUUAUAAAAACAUAUAUACAUGUUUAUAAAAACGUACAUAUAUGUUUAUAAAACUUAUUCCUCUGUUAUACAAACGAUUGCACUUCAUAUAUUGUUCUGUACCAUAGUAAGAUACUCUAGAGUAAGCUGCAUUAAGGAAUUAAUCCUGGAAUGUCAAUGUCAAACAGUUAUUUCUUGAUUGCAGUUUAUAACCAGCCUGGGUUGACAGCCAGGAGUGAGAGUACCCCAGUGGUCUGCUCUAUUCUGUCACUCAGGGAGCUGGGUUGCCAGUCUCCAACUUUCUUUUUGUCUCCCUCCUCCCCUGCAGAGCAAAAGAGUGGGAGAGGGUGUCAUUCAGGAGCAAUUAAAUGCUUCAGUUAAGUCAAUCAGAAGCAAUUAAGGAGCAUAAGUCUCUUUUGCUCACAACCUUUCGGCUAUAACUGGUCACAUGAUGCUGCUGCAGGAAAAAGGCUGGGUAAUAUGGCCUUCCUGAAAAUCAUAGCCUUCUAUGUGCCCAGAAAAUAAAAUAUAUUAAGCAUGAGUUUAUCAUCCGCAUCUUGCAUUUUUAUUUAAAAACUAGCUAGCUAGCUAUUAUCUAUCAUCUAUAUCAUCUAGCUAUUAUAUAUCAUCUAUUAUCUAUCAUCUAUGUCCACUAUCUAUCUCCUAUCUAUCAUCUAUCAUCUAUCUUUAUUUAUCAAUCUAACAUCUUUUUUCUAUCAUCUAUCUAUCUAUAUCUAUCAUAUCUUUAUCUAUCAUCUAUCUUUUUCUAUCUAUCUAUCUAUCUAUCUAUCUAUCUAUCUAUCUGCCUGACUACCUCCCCCACCUUCUAGAGCUUGUUAUUUGUUAGUAUAUGCAACUCUUAUUUUAAAGCUUAAUAAUGUCACAUUAUAUGAAAAUUCCAAAUUUUACUUAUCUAAUCCUGCACUAGAUUGUCUCUAACUGUUUGCCACUAUAACAAUGCUGCAGUGAAUGUCCUUUGUGAACAAAUACAAGCAUGUUAGUAUGAUACACUUCUGGAAAUGAAAUUUCUGAGUCAAAUUGUAUGGGUAUUUAAAAUUUUGAAAGAUUUAUAUUUAAAAACUACUUAUAUUUCCUUUUUGUGUGUUGUGUACAUCUUCAGAAUAUUUGUCUCUCUUUUUUUAUUUGUAGGAACUGAUUUACAUGUUGUUUUGGUUUAUGACAAUUUAUGCUCAGUUAUUGGAGCAUAGAUAUUAAUAACUAUUGUAUCAUCAUAACAAAGUGCCAAUUCUGUCACACUUCACAAGCAGGCACUCAAUUUGUUUUUUAUUUAGAAUGUGACCCCUGCUUUCAUUUUGUUUGUAUUAGUAUUUUAGUUACUUGUAUUAUUAUUUUGUGGUAUUUUUGUUUAUAUUAUACCCUCCUUUCUAUUCCUGCCUUUGGAACUACUUUAUUUUAUUUACAUGAAAGUAUUGGGUUUUGCUUUGGCAUUCAAUUUAAUUAUAUUUAUCUUUUAGUGGGCAAAUUUAGCCAAUUUACAAUAAUUAUCAAAUUUAGUCUUUCUUUUGGCAUCCGUUUGUGUUGUUUUCACUCUUUAAUAGUUAUAUGAUUUAUUUUAUUUCCUUUGUGUCUUUUUAAUUUAUUUCUUUUAAUAAUUAGGGAGAAUUGUAAUAUUUUUUAGAACUUCCCUUUUAAGCUAAACUUUUUUGCUUAUGUUCAUAUAAUACUUAACUUCCAUAUUUUAAUGUAAUAUUUAUAAAUUUCCUAUCAUGAUCAUUGAUGAAAUUAGUAUAAUUCAUAGUUUCCUUUACCUAAUUUUAUUAAUUAUAUUUCUUAAUAUUUUCUUAAUUAUACUAGAGUUAUUAGUUGCAAAUGAUGCAUUUUUGAUACUUCAGAUAUAAAAUAGAGGAAAUUCAGAAUUCCUACACUAUUGGACACUUUUUUCUGUCUCACUUUCAAUUUUUAUUAGUUUUAUCAAUUUACUGCUUGCCAGGGCAUAGAAAAAAACACUUUUAAAGCUAUUGCUUUGGCAUUUCUUUUUGUCAUAAUAAUUUAUGGAGUUCUUUAUACCCUUUUCUGUGUAUAAUUUCUCUGUAGCUGAAACAAUAGAUUAUAGUUUGAUAAAAGAACAACUUUUUCCAUCAGUUUUCAGUUCACUUUAAAAUAAAAUAACUUUUAUUCCUCUUUACAAAGGAACUUAAUGGCAUUUGAGGUUAAACAGAAUGACCUAAUAGAAAAUAUAUCAGUUAGAACUAUAAGAUUUGUAAUCGAAAGUGUCAUGCUGAGUUCUCAGAAUAUGAUAAGAAUAUUGAUUAGAAUAUAUUCCCAAAAUGAAUUAUCAAAUUUCUAUUUGUUUUAUUGGUAAGAUGUUUACAAAAGGAAUUGAUAUACCUGGUUAAUUUGCUUAGUAACAUAUAAUGCUAAUAUAAUUUAAGACUCUUGCUUAAGAAAUGAAUCCUAUAUUUAUAUAGCUCAAGUGAAGUCAGAAGUUUAGAACUGCAAAUCAUAAAACUAUACAAAGUUUAUUUUAAAUAGUAUGUGAAAGAUCAAAUAGUCAAUCCUUUGAAUUUAACUACAGGGAAACUUAAGGGUACUGUUUAUAGUGGAAUAAUAAAAUUAAUAGCUUAAAUAAAGGCUUAAGAAGGAACUCUUAUUUAUUUGCUUCAUUAAUAGAGCAUUUCAGUGUUAUUUACAUUUUAGAAGUUCUUGAUUAAGAGUGUCACAUCUUUAAAAAUGAAAAGUCACACUUCUAACAUCGGUAGUGGGUACAUCAUCUUUGUGUCAAAGACACUGCAUCUGUAUAUUGUUUUAUAUUUAAAAUUCAUAUAGUAUAUCAAGCAUGUAAAAUAAAUAGAGAAUUUUAUAUUCAACACCCAUGUGCUGAAGUUAAAAUUCAUCUCCAUUUAUUUCAAAUUAUGCAUAUUUUUGGAAUAAAACAUCACGGUUUUGCUCUCUGGGGCCUUUGUGUCUGAUAUUUCAGAUUGUGUGUGCAGUGCUCACAUACCCUGAACUCUAAGGGAAAUCAUGCUCGCGGACGAUGCAGAACACAUCCUUCACAGCCUAAGGCAGCCCUUAUUCCGUCCCUUUAAAUAGUUAGUCAUUAUUCUGUAUUUGGAUUUAUAAUUUCCAGCUAUGCUUGACUGUAUACACAUGCAGACCCUAAUUUAUUAAACAGGAAUUUAUUAAGGGUAUGAAACAGAAGUACCUUAUUUUUCUCCAGAUAUCGUCUUUAACCAUCCUGCAAGAAGAUUAUCUUCUUCCACUCUCAGCCUCUCAAAACUAAAUGUAUUUAACAUAUAUGGAUUUAUUCAGGUUGUUUUUAUUUCUUGACAUUGUUUUACUAACUUGUAUCUUUCUAGAAAAGAGUGAAAUAAAUAUUUUUCUAAUUUAAUGGUGUAACACAAUACAUACUGUCUUUAAUGAUUAACUACUAAAUGAAGUAAUAUAUGUGUCAUGCUUAGAAAAAUGUUUGGAACAUCAUAAGGGCCAUAUAAAACUUAGUUAUUAAUGUUAUUGCAAUGUAAUUUUUAAAAACGAAUGUAUCAACAAUUAGUAAUUAUGUCCAUUUUAUUCCAAAUUAUUUGAUGAUGUUUUCUCUAUUUUUAUUAAAUAACACUUUCAAAAUAUUUUGCUGUUUUGUCUUAUAUUUCCCUUUAUUUUUAAAUUCUUAAAUUCAUAAUAUCCCCAUUUAACUACUCAGUAUCUCUAACCUCCUUCCUAAGAUCUUAGGUAGCUUUAAAUCUGUUCAUAUUUCCUCUCUUAUUCUUAAUUUCUGGCUCCAUUAUUAAAGUUCUAACUUUUGUAAAACGACUAAAGAUAGUCCCUUUUUAAAUUGUUUCAUACAAUCAGUGCUGGUUUAGUUUUAACCAUGGUUUAUAUUUUUCAUACUCCUUUCCUUUAGGGUUAAAUAUCCUUAUUCUUGAAGAAAGUCUUUUCAAGGAAAUAUUAGUGCUAAUAACUUUCGGUCUUCUCAUCAAAACACCUGUAUUUUUUCCUAACUCUUGAAUAGUGUCUUAGCUGCUGUUAGAAUGCCAGAGGAAACCAGGUGUUUCCUCUCAACACCAGAAGACAUUUCUCAAAUGUCUUUUGGCUUCUUUUUUAAGCCAUCGACCAGUCUACUUGUUAGCAUCACUGUCAUUUCUAUGUUGCUAAUGUCUUUUCUCUAAGCUUGUUUCAAAUAGAUUCUCUUGUUUUUGAAGUUCUGUAGUUUAAUACAUGCAUCCACGUGAGAUUUCUUUUUAUCAUGUUAAGGAAAUACUGUGCUUUUUGAAUAUGAAGAUUUAUGUCUUGGAAAAUUUAUGUCAUGGAAAAUUAACCUCUUCAAAUAUUAUCUGAUAUAGUUUGGCUCUGCAUCCCCACCCAAAUUUCAGCUUGAAUUGUAAUAAUUCCCACAUGGCAAGAGUAAGAUCAGGUGGAGAUAAUUGGAUCAUGGGGGCGUUUUUCCCUAAGCUGUUCUUGUAAUAGUGAGUGAGUUCUCACGAGAUGUGAUGGUUUUAUAAGGGGCUUCCCCAUCCUCUCCGCUCUUUCUUUCUCCUGCCACCCUGUGAAGAGAGGCUUUCCGCCAUGAUUUUAAGUUCCUGAGGCCUCCCCAGCCAUGCCGAACGAUACCACAAAAGUUUGGCAAGUAGGAAGGAAUACUACAUUGUGGCCACAUUCUGAAAUGAAUUGCCCUGGGAGAAUACCUGAACAGUUUAACAAAUAGGAGUCCUACCCAUGUUGAAGGCAAAUAAUAGGGUAAAUAUAUGGGACAAAUGUAGGACUUCAGAAAAUUAGAGACAUGUUAGAGUGACUAUUUCAAAACAAUAUUUUGAAUGUAUUUAUUACCUCAAUACCACCUAUGAAAGGAGUUAUCUUUAAUUAAUUUCCCAGUGGAAGAAAUUGGAAGAAAAACAUUAACUUUUUUGAACAUUGACUGUUUAUACAGGGGACAGUAUGUUUAAGUGCAUGGCUGCCUUGGACUUCCAACAUUAGAACUGGGAGGUUGCUUCUAUCUUCUGCCCUUGGAAGGCAUGAUAAAUGGAUUAAGAUCCUCUUUCCCCGCUGAGUUCAGACUUAACUUCAAAAAUCUCAGGAAUUGGCACACCAAAAUGCCAUUGCCUAUCAAUAGAUUAUAGCCAAUCCAAGAGAUGACAACUAUUACCGUCUUUGUGUUAGGGGCAUCCCAAACAAGGCUUCAUUCUCAGUUGUGUAAUUUAAGUUUUAAUAUAGAAUUGACAAAGAACUAUGUAAAUUUUGAGCAGAAUAUUGCUGUAAUAAAUAUAAUGUCAGUUGCCUUCAAUGUUUUUCGAAGCCAUUCCAACCACAGGAAGUCUGCAACAAAAUUUUUUUUAUGACUUCCUCAGUAUUUGAGCACAUUUCAUUCAAUUUUGACCAUCAACUUCAUUUUGCUUUUGAACUCUGAAAAGAACAAAGCCUCAAGUGGAGCAAAGAGGAAGAUAUAGUUUUGUUUAAACAUAGUUUGUUGCUGUUGUUGUUAAACACAUCUCUUUUGUUAAACACAUUUUUGACAAACAGCGAUGAGCCCUAAGAAGAAGAAACUUGAUACUGUGAAAAAUAGAUAUGUUUUUACAUAUCUGGUUCAUUUGCCUGUUGUAAUCCCCUCAAAUAAUUGAUAAAGAAAUAUCUGUGUUUUGAUUAUUUGCCUGGCUGCUUUUUCUGCUUCAGUCCCUUAACCGCAAGUAAAUGUUUAUUUCUUAUAAAAGAUACAGAAUAUGGAUUUUAUAACAGUGUCAACUCCUCAUGCAUAACACAUUACAUGGCCAGUUCCAUAAGGCACUACUAAAUUGCUGAGAAGAGAAAAUUACAUUUGGAUGAGUGUAAACUAAUGUUGAAUGAAAAAUUAUAUCUCCAACUUUUAAUAUAUUGACUAGAGAACAUGUACAACAUGUUUUAAAAAUCUAAAUCCUUUAGCUAUAGUUUCAUCGAAACCUCAAAUCUAUUGUAUUUGUCAUGCUGCUCUGAAGGCUAAUAACUAGCUUUAUUGAAAACACAAUGGCAUGUUUAUAGUCCUGUCACUGAAAUGUUGUCACUGAAAGGCAGCUGAGGGAAUCCCAGACAAGCACCGUCGACAGAGCACACUACCAGCCUUUCCUGUCGAUUCUACAGUCUGUAGAUGAUCUGAGUUAUUUCUCUUCCUAAGCCUUUAUAUGAGUACCACAGCCCUCAGACGGAAGGUAUAAUAUCAGAUUUUUUAAAUAUAGGCUAGUCCAGUAUAGGAUUUGAUGAAGUAGUAGUUUACAAAUAUGAUACAAAUGAGAUUUGAUGAUUUGUGGACCUCAAUCAGUCUCCCCGUCCUGCAGUCUUAUGAGAUGCCUGUGCACUGCUUAUGGCAUUCCAAGUAGUAUUUUUGCAUAUUUUAAAUAAAGUUUAUAAUGUUCAAAGACAUAGCCAUCUGUCAUGCUUAUAUAAUUUGGAUUUCUAUGACUGGUCCUUUAUAAAAUGUGUGCAAUAAUUUAGAAAGCUGGAAAUGUGGAUCGUUCCUUAUCUGGGAUAAAACGAGAUUCAAAACCCUUUCUUCCAACUCAAAAGGUCCGGAACACAUACUGUUUAUCUUGAGACCAUUUAAACUCUUAAUUAAAAUCAGUUUUCCUUAUAAAUUUCCUCCAUAGUCUGCUUCGGAGUUGCAUUAAAUCAACCCUGAAUUUAGAAAAUCUUACAACAGUGGUUUUUCGAUCUAAUGUUUGUCUUAAUGCACAUGCUUUGAGUCCAUGCAAUUUAUAUUUUAGCAUGGUCUUCUGAAGAAUUUUUGAUCAAGUCUGGCCAUGUUAUUGUUCUCAGCUAAUUCAUAUAUACAUUACAAUUAAAUUCAAUAAAAGCAAUUUAAUCAGAAAUUGGAAAUGAGUUUCAACAAAAUCUACAGCAAUCAGUUCUUUUCUGCUGACACUGCUAUGAAAACAGGAUUGUGAGGCACAGAAUGAAUUAGCUGUAUGUAUUAGAAUAUCUUUUCAUAUGAUUUAGAGCAAAAUUUACAAAACCAGCAUUUAAAAGUAAAAGUAAUUUUUUGCUAGAUUUAAUAAUCAGUAAGUCUGGUCUCCUUAAAUAAUUUUGUUCAGUAUUGCAAUAUAUUUUAAAUGCCUCAUAUAUUAUUAAUUUUUAAGUAACACCUUGACAUCUAUCAAUGUGAUGUUUUUUACAUCAGAGAUGUCAAUGUAAUGUUAUCAAUGUGAUGUUAUUUACAUCAGAGAUAAAAAGAGGUAAAAAUCUGUGGAUUUUUUUUAAAUGCAUGGAGCAUUAUUAUAGAGAAAGGUGUACAAGCAAUAAGAUAAAUACAUAAAAAUUUAUAACACAUUAUUGACAAAUGUUGAGAGAUAAAGUCAAAUAGGGAAAUGGUUGUGUGGGCAGGAGAACAGGGGUUGUGAUUCUUCCUGGAGUAGCCUUACUGAAAAGAUUGUUUCAGAAGGAAGCUAAGGAUUAAAAAUGAAUAUAUCUGGGCAGAGCAAGAAUUCUAGGCAGUGGAAACAGCAGCUGCAAAUCCCCUGAGAUGGUUUAUUGUCUCAUAUUUGAAGGAGUAGAAAGGUGGUCAACCUUUCUGACUGGAGGAGAGGAAAUAAGAUAUCAGAGGUCAGGGGCAAAGUUAAGAGGUGAGAUCAGUGAAGCAACAGAGAGGGCUGAUCUUCCUGGGUCUUGAUAGUCACAUAAAGAUGUUGAUAUUCAUUCUGAAAGGUACAAAAGCUACUGGAAAGUUUUGAACUCAAGAGUGAAAUGAUCUCAUAAUUUUAUAGUAUCAGUCUUACUAAGAAAUAAGUUCGAAAGUUAUCACUGUAAUUUAGUGGAGAGAAGAGAGUAUCUUGAAACAGGAUCCUGGGUUUGUAGCCACCUUUGCAAAGAUUACAAUGGUAAGAAAAAUCUAGCAUGGCUGACUCCACUUUGCGUCUAGCCUCACCAGCUGGCUUUCCUUGCUCAUUCCUGGAUGUAGACCAAGCUAACCAAGGAAAGAAUUAAGUUUAGAGUUUAAAUUUGAAGUAAGAAUAAUAGUCCCUCCCUUAAACUAAUGCCCUUUUUGCUUGGGACCAAAACCACCUUUGUAUGACUAAUGAAAGGCCAUGAGAAUAGGAUUAUGGAAGGGGCUUGAGGUCUGCUAAGAUGUAGGUGUGGUGUUUCAGACUUUUGUAUUCUGGCAAUUGACUGACCCAACCUGGACACAUGACUCAUGACUCAACUAGUCCUGUGGUCUCCACCCACAGGCAGACAAUGCACAGUAACUGUUUUCCAUGUUGCUAUGAUUUCAUCUCAACUGAUCAGCAGCACCCAUUUCCUAGCUCUCUGCCCACAAAAUUGUAAUAAAACUCUAGCUUCUGAGUUCACAGGAGAUUGGUUUUAGUAAUAACUCUAGUUCUACUUGGCUAGCUCUGCUUUCAUUAAACUCUUUCUCUACUGCAAUAUCCCAGUCUUACCAAAUUGUUUUAUUUGUGCAGCGAGGAAGAAGAACCCAUUGGGUGAUUACAGUUGGAGGUAAUAAGAAGUGAUUUAUUUCUGGACACACAUUUUUUGCUUUUGUUUAUUGAGGUAAAAUUCACAUAGCAUAAAAUUAAUCAUUCUAAAAUGUGACAUUUAUUGACGUUUAGUACAUCCAUCUCUCUCUAGUUUCAAGACACUUUACACAUUCCAAAAGAAAACCCCAUGCCCUUUAAGCAGUAAUGUCCCAUACCCUCCUCCUCUCCUUCCCCUGGUACCACUAAUCUGCUGUCUGCCUCUCUGAAUUUGCCUAUUCUGGACAUUUCAUAUAAAUGGAAUUACACAGCUAAAAGAAAAAUGUUGCACAAAUUAUAUUCAACAGCAUUUAUUUGAACAAUGAACAAUUCAUGAAUCAGACAGCACUCAGAACUAAGAGAGGUUGAGAGAGCUCCACCCAGCAGCAUGAGCAGCAAGCUCACAAAAACAAACUAAUGAAAUCAUCGGAUUAGCUACAGCUAGGUGUUUGCCUUAUUUGGGCAUGGACUGACUGUGACCCGCUAUUUGUCCUUGGCUGACUUUUGGCUGUUUUUUUUUUUUUUUUUGCAGAAAUGUACAUAUUCCUAAGAUAGAUUUUGGAGUAUUCCUUAGAAACUCAAAAUAUGGGACAGUCUCAGGUCAAUGACUUUCUGCUAAUUUAAUCCAAAUAUAAAAUAUGUGGCCUUUGUGACUGGCUUCCUUUGCUUAGAAUAAUGUUUCUAGGUUCAUCCAUAUUGCAGCAUAUAUCAGUAAUUAAUUCCUUUUAAUAACGGAAUGAUAUUCCAUUGUUUGGAUACAAGACAUUUAUCUUUUCGUCAGUUGAUGGACAAUAUAUUGUUUCUACGUUUUGACUAUUUUGAACAGUGCUCUGGAUACAUUUUAAAAUUGGAGUCAAUAGGAUUGUCUAAUGCACUGGAAACAGAGUAUGAAAGAGAGAGAGAAAUCAAACACCAUGUAUUUUAGCCUGAGCAGUGUAGACCAGCAGUAACCACCACUAGAAAGGAUAAAUCUGUGAGAUUAUAAAUCUUCAACUUGAAAGGGGAGAUUUAAUAGCAGUGACUCAGUUGGGACUUAAAAAUUUCAAGAUGUCAAUUCCAAGUGGAUGUAUCAUAGAGGCAGAUGGAUAUAUGAUUCUGGAGUCCAGGAAAUUGUCAUUAGGUCAUUAGGUGGUACGUGAAGCUAUGAAAAUGUAUUAGAUGCUGCAGGGACUUAGUGUGGAGAGAAAAAAAAAGAAAGAUUUUUGAAGGUUAAUUUCUGAGGCCUCCCAAUAUUUAAAAAUUAGGGAAAUGAAUCAGAAACAAUAAAGGAAACCGACUAUAAAGUGGUCAGAAUAGGUAGACAGAAAACAAGAACAUUAUGGAGUAAGAAUUCAAUAUAGAUGAUGAAAAUAACAUGAUAUGCAAAUUGUUAAAUUCACUGAACAAAAUAUAUUUAUGCUUAUUUUGGCUUUGGUAUCUCUGACACAUUUAAAAAUUACUGAUGAUUUACUGAUACAAUAAUAAAGGAAGAUGCAACUGCUGUAUUUAAAUGAGUACACUGUUUUAAAAUAGAUUUUAUUGUUGAAAUGGAAGCAGCAAGAAAUAGAUUUUACUAGUUUUAAUAUUUAAUUAAAGUUAAUUCUGACAGUCACAUUUCUGUUGUUGAAGCAUCAGGGAGGGCAAAAACUAAUAUGUCAUAUGAAGGAAUGAGUCUUCUGAUCUAGGCAUACUGGAUUCAUUCCAUAAAACAGAGAAAUGAUCCUUGGGUGAAUCAGUUGGAGCCUGACUGUGUUAAUCCAGUGUGAUAAAGUUAGAAUCAACCCAAUUUUGUUCCAGUGUUUUAGAAACAAAGCACUGUAGAGAGGCACCUGGGUUAUUAGUAAGGAAAAUUAUCAUGGACCAGCUUUGAUCUGUACAGUUCCAGUUUUACAUUUUUAAAUCCACCUUGACAACUAAUAGUUCUUCUUUUACUCUCAAAAGCAUCCCAUUUUGGAAGAUACAUGAUUAUACUUAUUCUAAGGAAAUAUAACGGGUGGAUAACAAACACAAAAGGUAGUCUUGAUGCUGUCUCAUUUGCCCAAGGAAAUAGAACCCAUUCCAAAAUAUCAAAUUAUGGAAUGUAACCCACAUUUUUGUGAGCGAAGAAAUAUUUUUGAGAUUUAUUCCUUUCAAGUUUUUCAUAUAAUUGAAAUUUCUUUUUCCAAGGAAGACUAUCACCAGAACUGUGACAUUUACACCACAAAUUUGCCAAUAUUCAAUCGUGAUCGUUAGAAAAGAGAAAUUUUAUAUAACCCAAACUAAGUCAAAGCUGUAUAUAUAUAUAUAUAUAUAUCUUAGUAAUUUCUUACUCUAUCUUAAAUAUCUCAUAUUUAAAACAUAACAUCAGCUACCCCGUCAAACAGAUUUAAUCCCUUUUCUUUUUAUAGACGGAAUUGUUUUUACCAAAUGUUUUAUUUAUUCCUAACGUUUAGUCUAAUAUGUACGCAGAUACGUUUUCUUUAAUUGAGUAACUUUGCAUCUGAUGAUAUUUUCUAAUUCCUGAAGACAUAAUGCCAUCAAUCCACAGUAUACGUUAAUAAACUCCAUCCUGCUAGCGCAUAUGGAGUGUAAAGUGAAGAUGCUCCUUCAGGCACAUGGAAGAGUUCCAUCUCCAUCCAGAGUGUCCACAUAACCACCCAUCCAGAAAUAUGUCCAUCUGGAUGAGAAAUCAAAAAACCACAAAUGACAACCACAGAGUCAGUAGGAGAGAGAAAUGGAUGGGCAAGGAGUAAAAAUGUACCUUACCUCCAGUGUCUAUGAAGAGUUUUUAAAAGAAAAAGAAAGGAAAGCUUUAUUUAGUGACUGUCUGCUAAGGGUCAGACACUGAGAAGCAUUUUCCAGAUGAAGGAGCAAGCUGGAAGACAUAAAAUACCUGCUUACAGAUAGAGGUGGUGAAGCCAUAAUUCCAAAAUCUGCCCAAUAUGACUUCAAAUCUAAAAUUUUUGUCCUGAACUGUGUACUGAUUUGUGGUUAAUUGUAUUUAUAGCUAAUGAAUAUUUGCGAAAUAAUAAAUGGCAAUUUCUAAAACAUUUCCCAGUCAUGUACAACUAUACCUGAAAAGUUUGCAAGUCAGAGUAUUCAGGAUAUGGAAGAAUGAAUACUACACAGCAGUAAUAUUUUUUGGCCAUCAUCCAUGCCCCCAGUAUUGAAGGAAAUAAAAAUUGGUGCUAUAUUCCAAUAUUACUUGUUAUUCAGCAGAACACAAACUAUUGAUUACUUGGAUAUUGAGAGGAUAACGUACCCAAACAAGUGUUGAUGAGGAAAUCUGGUCUCACAAAGAGAUGCCUUCUUACAACUCAUUAGAAAAGCAGACCUAUAAUAUAGAUUUGGAAAGUAUAUGCCUAUUAGGCUCCAUAGAAGCAAUUUAUAUAUUUUUUAUUUAAACUUUUUAAUUGAUACAUAAUAUUUGUACAUAUAUAUGGGGUAUAUGUGAUAUUUUGCUACAAACAUACAAUGUGUAAUGAUCAAACCAGGGUAUUUAGUGUAUCUUUCUCUUUAUCAUUUCUAUCUGUUAGAAACAUUCCAAAUCUUCUUUUCUAGCUACUUUGAAAUAUACAUUUUUGUUAACCAGUCACCCUAGUUUGGUAUUGAACAUUAAAACUUAUUCCUUUUAUCUAAUUCUAUGUUUUUACCUAUUAACCAAUCUCUCUUCCCUCCCCUCCCACUCACCCACACAUCCUUCCAAGCCUCUGAUGUCUGUCAUUCUACUCUCUGCCUCCAUGAGAUUAUCUCUUCUAGCUCCCACAUAGUAGUGAGAACAUCCAAUAUUUGUCUUUCUUUCUGGGUCUGGCUUAUUUCACUUUAACAUAAUGACCUCCAGUUCUAUCCCUGUGUCUGCAAAUGACGUAAUUUCAUUUUUAUGGCUGAAUAGUAUUCCAUUGUGUAUUCAUUUUCUUUACUUAUUUCUUUAUUCAUUUAAUUUUGAAAUGUUUGCCUAGACAAGCCAGAUGAUUGUUGUAGGAAUCAUACAAUCCAGCUCUACUCUGCCCUGUUGAGAUUAUCCCUACCAUCUGGGGAUUGUCACAAUACAUGACAAUCAUGGAGAAAUGUUCAUGGAGAAAUGUUUUUGUUUGAAUUUUUAAUUCCAAAUACAACCAGUGCUGGAUGCGACUGUGAGUUACACUUGCAUGCAUACAGUCAGGCUAACAUGUUAUCUAGUUCCAUUACUAGGACUAAUCCAGUGGUUGUUUCUUUCUUUUUCUUUUUUUUUUUUUAUGCUUCAAGUUCAGUGGUUGUUUCUUUGUCCUACCACUCUUACUGAGCAGUUGGAAGACAACUAACUCACAGAAAAUGAACAAAAGUUUCACAAGGAUUGCUCCAAACAAUAAACAGAUUAAAGAUAAUGCUAAUCUUUUAAAAGCAAGCAAAGGAUCAAAUAGUGGAGUUCUCAUUUCACCUCCAUGGAGUAUGAGCUCUCAAUCAAACUAAGACGUAAAAAAAACAAUGACCCAUUAAGUACUCAAAAUAAAAAACUUGAAAAUAUUGAGUAACAUAUAACAUGUCAAAUAAUGACUACUUGAAAUAUUUAUUUACGACUACCUGAUUAAUAUAAACUCAGCUUUACAUGAUGCUUUGAGGUAUUAGCAAGUGAAAUAUGAAAUAAGUAUUCAGAUGAGUUUUAAUUCAGCAUUCAUAAAAUGAAGAUAAACCUCUAUAAUUUUUAAGUUAUAUUUAAAGCCGUUUAAUGCUCAAUUCGUACUUUACAAAAUUUAACUAAACGUAAUGAUAAAAACUAAAAUACCCUUUUGAGAUUUCUUUCUAAAUAACCAAGAAACAGAAUGCCAUUUUGGGAAAUACAUUCUUCCUGUUAAAAUAAUAAUGUAAGAAGCUAUAUGGUGAGAAGCUAGCAUUUUAUCAACAAAUAUAUUGUUGAAGAUUUGAAGAAACUAGUACUGAAACAAAUUACAGUCCACAUUGUUUGUUAUACAGCUGAAACUGCAGCUUAAAUAAUGGCAUUUGGUAGGUUCUGUUUCAAUAACGAAAUACUCGAAGAACUCCUUUUUAUCUCUGCCCCUAAAGCAAAGGUGUUUCGAAGAAAAUUUGAUCUCAAAAGUAAAAACUUGUUAAGUAAAUAAAAACAAUGUUUUAGGCAGAAAACUUGUGUAGGCAAAACAGACAUUGGAAUAGCAGCUUUGAGUAGAAUUCGUGGUGGAGAAGUAGAACCAUAAGUGAAUUUCAUUCAUUGUAUCAAUUGUAAGCUAAAAAUUGAAGCAAAGAAGUAGAAAUCAGAAUGUCUACUGAAUGUCACAACUGUAGUAUGAUAUUUUAUAAUUUAAUCAGCUGGGAAUGAUCCAUACAAAGGUUUUCUUGUGAUUUCCCUGUUAAGUACUUGCAUAGAUUUUAUUGCUACUGAAUAAAACGCAAAUUAUUUUUAUAUAUUGAUUUCAUAUAUAGAGACCUGAUGUUAUAAAAAUGUAUUGGGAGAUGUCAUUAUGUAAUUUUUCCAUAAUCAUACUGUGAAAAUAAUAAAAACUGGUAGUUCCUUUCCAGUUACUACAAACCUGUACUUAUUUUUCUUACCUGACUGAGCUAGCUAGAACAUUUAGUACAGUGUUAAAUAAAAUUGCUUAUAGCAGACAACUUUGUAUUGUCCCUCAUAGUGACGUGCUAGCUUCUUUUUUCCACUAAGUAUUCUGUUUACUGGAGACUUACCAGUUUACAGAAGUUUAAUUCUGUUUAUCGUUAAGAAUUUUUUUUCCUAAAGGAGUGCUUUCCUUAAUCUUCAAGAUGAAAAAAGGCUCUUUCCAAACUUUUUAAUGAAAUAAACUUUUUUUUUCUAACAUUGAAAUCAGUUUCUCAUUUUGAAGAUAGAUUUACUCAUGUUUUAUGCAUACCUGAAUCUAUUUGCUAAUACUUGGUUUAGUAUGUUUGCAUCUGUUUGUGAGGGUGACUGACCUGACGUUUUCCAUGUUUUGUACAGUCUUUGUUAGAUACAGAUAUCAAACUAAAUUUACUAGUCUUGUAAAAUGACUUGGGAGAAUGUUGUUUCCUUAUAUACCCAGGACUGUUUGUUUAAAAUUAAAAUUAUUUGUUCCUUUAAUGUUUGAUAAAGCUCACCUGUAAAAUUGUGUUGGUUUUCUUCCACAUUCAGAAUGAAAUUUUAAAUGACUGCUGAUUUUAUCGAGUUACCACCUUCUAGAGUUUUAUUUUAAAUUACUCUUUUUCUAUUUUUUGUCUGGCAUUUUUAGAUUUUUUUUUCUAUGGAAGAGUCUGUCAGAGUAUAUAGUCUGCCCUACUUCUAGGAAUAGAAGUUCUCUCUCAUCCAUUGUGAUAUCUAUUCUUAUUCAUAUUUUAUAUGGAGAACUCUGCUGUGAGGGGAGGGUAAGGAAAGUUUCCUAUAUGGAAAAAUUUUUUCUCCUUUCUUGUCUUCCUCUUGCAUGAAGACAGAAAAAUAAUAUAUUCAAAGUAAAACCACAACACAUUCAAGGGCCCAGAAGUGAGAGACACAUAGCUUACAUAGAAAACGGAAAUCAACUCACUGUGAAUGGGCCUGGCAGAGGAUAUUAUCAGAUUCAUACCUGAGAUUUAGGAAUGUACAAAUCUAGGGAGUUCUUCAAAGAGAGCUCAGUAGUUUGGAUUUUAUCCUGAUGUAAGGGGGCAAUUAAAUUAUGACAACAGUAAUGAUGGUUAUAUAAACAUAUAGCAUAUUUUGAAUUAUUACCAUUUAUUAUGCUAAGUGCUAUAAGUAGAUUUUUAACCCUCAAAAUACAGCUUUGAAUUAUUUUGAGAAUUUUAACUCAUUUCCCAUUUAGAAAAAAAAAGUGCAGCUUGGGGCCAGUGCUCAUUUAAUUUUACAUAAACAUGUUCUUUGAGACUGAAGCAAAUCUGACUGAUUUUCAGUGUGAAAACAAAAUAUAAACAGUUCUUGUAGUUAUUUCUUAACAGAACUUUUCUCUAAUCUUAAUGUAACAGGAAUGUAUAUGAUGUUACAUUAGGAUUAGAGACAAGCGUAUUCUUGGGGCAAACGGGAAAUAGGUUAAGAAAUAAAAAAUGUUAGUUCACGAUGUAGAUGGUAUGUUCCAGGAACUUGAAGUGUGGCAGACUUCAAUGACAAUCACUAAUUAGAUGUCGUUAAAGUAUAUAAAUGGGAAAUAUUGAUAGUAAUAGUAAUAUUGUGAAGCAAAAGAAGAAAAUAAAUCUUUUUAUAUUGUAACAUUUUCACUGUAUAUUAGCAAUAUUUAGCCCACAUCACAUAUUUAGUUCCUUGGAUAUUAUCUUCCUUUUGUCAGCAAAACUGAAUGUUAAAAAAUGAUAUUAUCUCACACAAAAUGAAGCUAGAAUUUUAUUUUGCCCAAGGGAAUUUACAUUUUAUUUUAAACAAGGAAGACUUAAGAUUUAAUUACUCCAUGCAGCCAUCAUGAUAACAAUUAAACAUACACAUGAGGGAUAUAGUUUCUUCUCACCACUCUGUAAAACAGCAAGAGAGUAUUCAUUUAAUCCAACUAUAGAGAGAGAUAUUUUAAGUUUCUGAUUGAUUUACUGUCAUUCAUGCAUAAACGUUGUUGAACUGAAAAUUUUCUACUUUUCUAGAGGCUACAUAUUAUGUUUAUGUAUUCAUUUUAUUUUAUACAUCAACCAUGUAUUGAUAAUCUGUUAUAUACCUGUUAUAUAGCAGGGGUUAUGGCCUAUAAUUGUGAAUUAUAAAUGGUUCAAGUCUUGAUAAAUUUGUAGCAAAAUGGAAAAAUAUCCACAUUAAAAAUUAUAGAAGUGAGAAUUCCAGGCAGAGAGGGCAGUAUAAAGCUACCAUACAGAAAUUCCCAUUCCAAUACCUAAAGCCUGACAAACAAUAAAAAUAACAUGCCAACAAUUACAAAAAUAACAUAAAAUAGUGAUAUUAAUAAAGAUACACACACAUACACACACUAGUUAACUAAGAACCAUAAAAGUAUUCUGUAGUAGAGUGACAAGAGUCCUAACCCUAUCCCUGUAUCUCAAAAGCAAGAAGACUGAAAAGUCCCAAUAAUUGGCAGUAAUACCCCAAAAUAUAAAACAUAAAACAUAACGACAGUAAAGAAAAGGAACACAGAAUAGAAUAGACAAUGAAAAACUGAGCAUGGAAGAAUGCAGGGAACUAAAGCAAAUGCCUGAUAAAUAUUCUGAGCUAUAUAACAAGUUUAAGAAGCUUGAAUAGAAUGAGACAAGAGCUCAAACACAAAUUAUAAAAUUUUAAAAUGAGAUGUAAAGCUAUCACCAACAUCAGGAAACAUGUACAGUAGCUUUUCAAAACUAAUAAAUUAGAAACAGCAAGAAACGAAUUUGAGAGAACAAAAAACUGAGCCUUGGGUUUAGAAAAAUGCUUGAAAUAAUCAAUAAAAUGGUAAGAAAAUUUAAAUUAUUAGAUAAUUCCAACCAAUAUAAGGGUUUUUCAAGACAAUUCAGCAUAGAAUAAAUAAUGUCUGUGAUUUAAAGAAUUCAGUCAGUGAAAUACAGAUACAACAAAAGACAAUUUGAACUAAAGAGAGUAGAAUCUUCGGAACAAAACAGCACAACAGGUGUGUGUGUGUGUCUGUGUGGGUGCAUGUGUGUGCCAUAUAUAUGCAAAUAUAUAUGUAGAGUUCCAUUCAGAGAGAACUUAAACUACAAAAGAAAAGCAUUAGCCGGACAUUAGUUUUUUCAUAGCAACAUCCAAUGCCAGAAGACAAUAGAUAAAAUUCUGCAAUGUUUUGCAGAAAUGUUACUAGAGAGUAUCAUAACACAAGUGUGCUAGACAGUUCUUACAUUGCUAUAAAGAAAUACCUGAAGUUAGGUAAUUAUAAAGAAAAGGAAUUUAAUUGACUCUAAAUGGUUCUAUAAGCUGUAGAAGCAUUGUUCUGGCAUCUGCUCAGCUUCUAGUGAGGCCUCAGGUAGCUUUUACUCAUGGCAGAAGGUGAAGGAGGAGCAGAUGUCUCAUCCAGUGAGAGGAGGAGCAAUACCAGGGAGGUGCCACACACUUUUAAACAAUCAUAUUUUAUAAGAACUCACUCACUGUCACAAGGGCAGCACCAAGUCAUGAGAGAUCUGCGCCCAGGUCAUGAGAGAUCUGCGCCAAAACACUUGCCACCAGAUCCUACCUCCAACAGUGUGGGUUACCUUUCAACAUGAGAUUUGUUGAGGACAAAUACCCAAACUAUUGGACCAAGUAUUUCAUGGACAGAGCAAUAGUCAGGCCUUCUCAAAUAUGAAAGAACUUAUAUAAUAUGUCACCUGUUAACCACUGGUAAGAAAAACAGAAACAAACUGCCUAUUAAAAUUUAACUGAUAACAAUCCUCAUCAUGACAAUUCAACAUAUAAUGCAAUGCAACCUUAUAAAGAACUCACAAAUGGUGCCUUGGUAUGGGAGUAGUGAUUAUCUGUGACUCCAGUUAAAUGUAGAAUUGCUAUAAGAAACCCUGUUAAACUGGUGACAAUUAUCACUGACUCCCCUUAAAUCUAGAAUUAUAAUAAAGGAUGUUAAACUGGUGGCAGGAAAGAAUAAAAAAGUUACAAUUUUUGCCAUGUCAAAUUAUUGACAAAUUUACAAAAGAAAAAGGAGGUGAUUGAAAUGGAAGGUGACUGGAAAGGAAGUGAGCCUACAAGAGAGCGAAGGUUUUUGUCUAUGGAUCAGGUAAUAUCUACAAUUAAAACAUAUAGUAAGCCUGGGCGCGGUGGCUAAUUCCUGUAAUCUCAGUGCUUUGACAGGCCAAUGUGGGAGCAUGGCUUGAGCCUAGGGGUUUGUGAUUAGCCUGAGCAAUAUAGGUCCCAUCUCUACUAAAAAUUUAAACAAUUAGCCAGGUAUUGUGGUGCAUGCCUGUAGUCCCAGUUACUCAGGAGGCUGAGAUGGGAAGAUUGCCUGAACCCAGGAGUUUGAGGUUAUAGUGAGCUAUGAUCGUGCCACUGCACUCCAGCCUUGAUGACAGAGUGAGACCCUGUCUCUAACAACCAAAAAUAAAUAAAGAAAUAAAACAUAUAGUUUUAAACUGAAGUCUCUUGUCUUAAUUACAAUUCAUUCCUAUCUUCACAAGGAUAUUCUAAGAGAAUAAUAUCUCUUAUAAUAAGGAUAUAAAUGUUUGAUUUUCAGUGGAGUUUCACUGAGAUUUUCACUUCUACUUGAUUUCGUUUUAUUAAAUUUCAACAAAUUAAUUUAAUAUUAUUUAAAUAGCGUAAAGUAUAUAAUCACAGUUUAAAAAUUGCCUUUUUAUGUACUGAUUGAUAAUGUGUCUGAGUCAGGGUCUAGGCCAAAAAACAGACCUCAUUCCACGUAGUCCAAAAGAAGGACUUGAGUUCUGGGGACUAGUUGCACAGGUGCUUGCUGAAGGCAAGCAGGCACUAUUAAGGUCAUUCCUAGAUUAACAACAUCAAUUAGUUGAUGCUAGCUCUAUGCCUGGAGGGUGAGAAGAUAGAAGUGGUGGUACCCCAACCCAGAGCUGUGGUUGCCAGAUUGGGGUGAGGUUACUCAGUCUCCAAGAAAGCUGUAUGGCAGUGACCAGAACCGCAGAUAAAGGGGCUGCCCAGGGUGAGCUGGGGCCAUGGGGAGAUACAGCUGCUUCCAGAAAAGCAGCUCUAAGCAUAAAUGGAAGAGGUGGAUUAACUCUAUGUCUGUGUCCCAGUCUUUAGGGUCCUGUCAUUUUCUCACAGUAGCUAACUUUAGCCAGAACUCAGUGAUAAAGGUUUCCUAAAAUAUGCAGGGAAAGUCAGAGAAUAGAUCUGAGAACUAAUGUGCAAGGGGCUGGUACAUCUUCAAAGAAUGACAUUUGGGUGGAUGGUUACCUUUUGCUUAAAAAGGGUUAUUGUUAAAUGGACUUUUGAACAGUUUUAAGUUUUUCUUAUUUUUUUUUGCAAGUGAGCUAGAGGAAAUUUGCAGAUGUUAAAACUUAAUAUUUGAGCACAGGUUGGUAGAUGAGAAAAAUAUUUUAAAAGGAAUUCUCCAGUGAAAAAAUAAUUAGAAUACUUAGAGAAGAGUAAAUUUUUGAUAUUGCUUUUAUAGGUACAAUAGACUAAUCAGAGAACAUGAUGAGGAAACAUAGCAAGACAAGAUGAAAAGAAUCUUUUCUGCCAAGAAAUUUGAGUUCUUCAUUUUGCACUGGACCAUUGUAAAAGUCAGUAAAUGAGAAAGAAACAUAAUCAGAAAUGUGAUUUAUGUCUAAAUUCUUGACAGCAGCUAAAGAAUAUAGUGGAGGAAACAAUUAUUUCAGAAAAUAUCACCCUAGUCCACGUUAAAGAAUAGAAUAUUACACUGUAUUUAUAUCACACAUAUAAAUUGGUAAUAGUACUGUAAACUUACUAUGAUGUUUGAUAGUGGGUCAACUUAAUUCUGGAAAAGACAUCGUUUCUAGGUAAACACUUCCUCUACUUGAUUUAAUAGAUAUGUCAUUAGAAUAUAGAUGAGUGAAAUAUUUUGGAAAUUUGAUAGCUUGUCAUAAAUGGCAAAAAAUCUCAUGUAUAAAUUGUUAAACGAAUUAACCCUAGGUCUCCUGAAACUGAUUAGCCAAUGAUUCUCUGUUAACUCUCACAAGGUUUAACAAUUCAAUUUUCAAGUUUUGUUUAAUGCCUAGUGUACAUUUCAUAAUAGGCACUGAAGAGGGAAUAUAAAUGAAGUGUAAUAUGUUUACCUAAAUGAGUUUUCAAGUUGAAUGGAAAGCAUAAUAUGCAUUCAAUAUUAGACUCAAUGAUAAUAUCACAUUGCAUAUAAUGAAGGGCAGAUAAUGGUUGGACAGAAGGUAUUGUGAAAGCUCAACAGACCAGUAUGGAAUGGAAUAGUUGCAGAAAACAUCAUGAAGUAAAGAAAUCUUAGGCUCUUCCCAGAUUUCUAUGUUUUUUUUUUUCGUGGUUAUUACUGUUUCAUUAUUUCUAAGUGAUUACAUUAAGUUUUUCUGCAGUCUACUGAUACGGAAUUAUUUAUUAACAAAUAAAAUGUUGGGGUUAGGUUUCCUUUAGCUCACAAAGAGCAGAAAUAAUUAUCAUCAAAAUGUAAUUCAAGUGCCUACAUUUGUUUUUUGAAUUACUCCCUUUCAUCUUUUUACAGUUGAAAUAUAUUCAUCAACACCAUUGAAGCACUAAUAUCCAAAUUUAGUUUUAUUAAAUUCAUUAGCUAGGCAUAGACUUGAAAUAUUUCAAAGCCACUGAAACUAUUAAUCGAUGAAAUACCAUAUUAGUGUCACAUCAGAAAAUAAUUUGUUUCUCAAACAAACCUUUAACAUUACAGAUGGCAUAUUCGUUUAUCAGUGGAUGUGGAGAAAGAUUAUUUUUAGAAAGAGUAAAGUAUGAGUCAAUUAUACAAUAAAAUGCCUGACCAUUCUGAUUUGAAGUAUUAAAAAAAUAGGAUUCAGUAGGUUGGUUUGCCAUAAAAUGUAAUGAUAUGUUGAGUUAUAAUGUAAGAACUGUAAAUCUUGAUAUGUAGAAAACAAACAAAUGAAAAAAACCGUUUAUCUGUUCCUAGUUUUACCAGAGUGGUUGAUGAAUACUAUGCAUGUUUUUCUUUCCUAUGGUCAGUCAUAUUUUGGAGGACAUCUGAUUUUUCAUCUACUAGCUAAAAUUUCCUUGGUGGGGCGGGGGCGGGGGGCAGUGGUUGUUCCACCUCCACAACCACCUGUGAGGUUAAGUUGGAGUUUGCCAUUAACAAACUCUGCCACACUACCCCAAAGUUGGGCAUAUGCCACAGGCCUGGUCCCAUUCCAUGACCAAACUUAUCUAACAGAGAAAGACCUGUGUUUUAUGUGAUGUAAGUGUCAGAGCUUAGAGCUGCUGAAGGCCUUGUUUUCUUCAUGCAGUGGAAUCUGAGAGAAGGUAGCCAACAAUUUUCCCUGACUGCUAAAACUUCCUGAUGGAUAUUAUAUUAAGAAAGAAUCACCAGAUUUGUGCAUUUAUAUUUCUACAUGCAAUUGUAGUAUCCUUCCACGAAUCCCCCCUUUUACUUAAACUAGGCUGGGCUGUUUCUUUAGAAGUUGAAACCUACAAGUAUUACCUAUUACAUAUCUGCCAUGACAGUCAGGAUGUGAAAAAAAUGACACAUCCACAAUAUAUUAUUCCAAAUCCUUGGGGCCGGAUAUGGUUCAGAAUUUGAGUAUUUCAUGUAAAAGAACAGAAAUGUCAGGGUAGCACUCUGGAGUCAAACCUAUUAAGAUUUUUGUAGUAACAUGAAUCAAUAGUCACAACACUAAAUGGGGUUAAAAGGAGUAAUAAAUGUCCUAUUGUCAGUUCAGGUCAGUUUUGUAUUCAAUUGAGCUUUGACACCAAACCUAGGAGAAUACUUGUUGUUUUUUCAGGAUUCCUUGGAUUUUGGAAUUGCAGAAAAUGAGUGGGAGCUGUGCUUUAAGCUAUUAUUGAAAAAUAAAUCCUCUCCUAAUCUUAAAGAUACAAUUUACAGAACCCUGUUGGGUGAAAAUUUGUUGUAACUGUCUCAUACAUUGCUUCCAGCCACUCCUUCCCCCUACCCAGAAGCUGCUCCCUAGAGAGGCAAUAUGGCAUACAGGGCAGAAAGAUUGGCUGACAGAAUCAGGCAAAUCUGUAUCUAGAUUCUGAAGUGGCUAAACGUGUCCUUUUAUUUUGAGGAUGAAAUGUAAGCAGCAAUAAGAUCUAUCCAAUAUAAAAUAUCCUUCUGAAAGCUAACAACAAACCCUGUACUAUUUUAGACAGUAGAGUUUAUCUGUUCAUUCUCUAUCACAAAAAAAAUCAUGAGCCCAUAAUAAUUUUCUUUGGGAAGAUGUUUGGUUUGAUAGUAACAAGAUUUAAAAAUUGAUGUAUCUAUUCAUUUUGUGCUUUUCCUUUUUUUUCAAGAAAGUUUCGAGUAGAUCAGAAAUUUACAUUUCAAUUAUGCACAAGGAACUUGAGUGUUUUUGUUAAUACUGGAUAAGAAUCCAUAAAAGAAUCUUUCUUAGUAAUCAUAAUAAACAUAAAGAUCAUCAGAGCUAAUAUUUACUGAUAUUUAAUUAAUUUAUUUACUCUGAGCUAUGGCACUCUGCUAACACUUUACAUUUUCUCCUUUAAUUUUUACAACAACCCUGUAGAGUAGGUGAUAUAAUCCUAUUUAUUUUACAAUGGAAAAAUUGUGGUUUGGAUAAAAUAACUGUCUGAAGCAGCAUGUGAUAUGAGUUCCUAACCACUAUUUAGAGGUUAGGAGAAGCUUUUCAUAUGGGGUAAAUGUCUAAGUUGAGAUCUAAAACAAGAUUUAGUUGAAUGAGAAAACAAAAAGAAAACAAAACUAUGUGGCAAAAGCCCUCAAAUACAAGAGGAACUGCACACGUGAAGAAUGGAAACCCUAUCUACAUCCUGCGGUUACAAAGGAGAUGAGAGGAUAUACUGAAGCAGUAAAAACAAGUCACGUCAAGCUGGUUGUUCUAAGACACAUGAAGGAGCUUAGACAUUAUCCUGAAGGCCACAAGGAGCCACUGAAAUUCUUAUGCUAAAGAGCAAACGAUUGUAAUUUACAUUUAAUUUAUGUUUCAGGUUGCAUCAUAAAGAAAGGAUUGGAAAAGAGAAAAAAGAAGACAAGAAACUCAAACUUAUUUAAAAGGCAAUAGCCUAGCUAUCAGGUGAAAUUGGUAGGAUUCUAGAGAUUUUAGGAUUGUAGAAUCUGUAGGAACUGAUGGUUUAUUUGUUGUAUGGUAUAGGACAGGAGAGGUUAAGUCCUGUGUUGAGGAUUCAGUCGUGAACCUCAGUGAAGACAUCAGUGCCAUUUACUGAGCUACAGAACGUGGGAGCCAGAGCAGAGACAAAGAUUAGCAUAGAAAGCCAUUUUUGUAGAAGAUGAGUUUGAACUUCCAUUGAAAUAUCCUGAAGGAGAAAUAUAAUAGUUGGGUGUAUAAAUCUGCCGUUUAAGAGAGAGAUAAAGGUUGCAGUUUAAGAGAGAUAUAGGCUGAAGUGUUCAUUUUGGGAGCCAUCAGUAAAUAAAAGGACUUGAAAUUGGAGUAGCGGGAAUCAGAUCACAUGGACUGAGAUUAUUCCAUGAGAGGAAACGCCUGAGAACAAAAUGGAAGAGACCAGCAGCCCCAAAGAUGGAACACUGAAGCAUCAGAGAAGCCAAGGGAAGAAAAUGUUUCAAGGAAGAUGAUAAUAAGAAACUAAGUAUGAUACUGACAUGAGUAUCUAUUAAUGAUAUUAGUAAGAGCAAUUUCAGCAGAACUGAAGGGAUAAUUCAGAGUGCAGUGGGUUCUAGAAAGAAUGAGGCAUAGAAAGUCUGGUUGAGGAAUUUUUGUGGCCCUAAGACCCUAAAGAAUAAAGGUGCCACCACCAAAAUACCUUGCAACUCUGGCUUGCUGGAGACUGUUGUUAUUAUCUUGUUUAUCAGGUUGCUUAUUUGUCUGAAAUUUCAAUAGGUUUUGGGGGAACAGGUGGUGUCUGGUUACAUGAAUAAGUUCUUCAGUGAUGAAAUCUGAGAUUCUGUUGCACCCAUCACCUGAGCAGUGUACACAUUACCCAUUGUGUACUCUUUUACCCUCUCCUCCCUCCCACCCUUUGAGUCCCCAAAUUUCAUUGUAUCAUUUUAUCCCUUUGCGUCCUCAUAGCUUAGCUUCCAUUUAUGAGUGAGAACAUACGACGUUUGGUUUUCCAUUCUUGAGUUACUUCACUUCGAAUAAUGGUCUCCACCUCCAUCCAGGUUGCUGUGAAUGUCAUUAAUUCAUUCCUUUUUAUGGCUGAGUAGUAUUCUAUGGUACAUAUAUACCACAUUUUCUUUAUCUGCUUGUUGAUUAAUGGGCAUUUACUUUUCAAGGCCGGCUAGGUGCCUGGAACUUCCCUUGAAGGGACUCAAGAUUUUUAAAAAAUUGCCAUGUUUCAGCAGCCCAGAAGAAGCUAAGAGGGGUCCCUACUCCGUCUGAAGCUUUUAUUUUAUUUUUGUAAUUUUUUGAAUUCUUGCCUUGGCACCUUAAACAUUUAUUUUGGCAUUCAGAUAAAGAGGGCCAGAGUACAAUUGCAAAUAAUGACCUAAAAAACAUGGCUAUCAGGAGGGGAGAAAUAGUGAGCAGAGCAGAAGGUGCUGCCAAAGAAGAGGGUUUUUUGUGUUUUUUGUUAAUUUUUGUGAUAGGAGAGAAGUGAACACGCUUAGAUUUCAUAAAAGGUUGUGAUAUAUAAAAAGAAAUUACAAACAAAGAGGAGAGAGAAAAAAAUGAUAAACCCAGCAAGUAUCUAAACAUGGAAGAAGGAAUUGGACACAGAAAACAACUGGUUGGAUUACUCUUGGGCAAGAGACAAGUUAUUUUCUUUAUUUGAACAGAAAGAAAUGAGGAAAUCAUAGAGGAGAGUGGAGGUUUGGGGAUUUUAAAGUUUAGUGAUUUCUUAUCAUAUGGCAUUUAUUUUACCUACAUGAUAGGAGGCUGCUGAAAGUAAAAAGAAGAGAUGGAGUAGAAUGCUUAAGAAUUGUUCAGGAAAAACUACAAUAGUUGUGAAGAAUGGCUGAAGUUACUGACUAGGAGAACACAGAGUAUUACAGGUGGCUGUGAGGGCUCAACUGUAUGGAAGAAUAUGGUUACAUGGUGUGUAUUUGUCAGGGCUCUCCAGAAAAAUAGAACCAAUAGGAGAGAGACAGAUUUUAAGGAGUUGACUGAAGCAAUUACAGAGACUUGCAAGUCCAAAAUCUGCAGAGCCAAUGUCCAGUUUGAAUCCAAGGACUGGAAGCUGCUGUGGAACCAAGAAGAGCUGAUGCCCCAGUGUAGGCCGUUUUAGGGCAAGAGGAUCUCCCUCUUACUUGGAGGAGGGUCAGCCUUUUGCUCUCCUGUGGUCUUCAGCUCCUUGAAUGAGGCCCACUCACAUUAUGAAGGGUACUCUGUUUUACUCAGUCUACUGAUUUAAAUGUUAAUCUCAGCAGGGCACGGUGGCUCAUACUUGUAUUCCCAGCACUUUGAGAGGCUGAGGCAGGAGGAUCGCUUGAGCCUAGGGGUUUCAGAUCAGCCUGGGCAACAUAUUGAGACCCCAUCUGUACUGAAAAUAAAUAUUAAAAAAAAUUAGCCAGGUGUGGAUGGCUUAUCCCUGUCAUCCCUUCUACUUGGGAGGCUGAGGCGGGAGGAUCACUUAAGUCCUAAAAGUUGAUACUUCAGUGAGCUGAGAUUGCACCACUGCACUGCAGACUGGGUGACAGAGCAAGACCCUGACUCAAAUUAAUAAAUAAAUAAAUGUUAAUCUCAUGCAAAAACUCCCUCAUGGAAACACCUAGAAUAAUGUUUUAUCAAAUAUAUAACUCAUGACCGAGUCAAGUUGACACAUAAAAUUAACCAUCAUAAGGUGGUACAAAUAUUUCCUUUCUGGAAAUGUUUUGGAAUGUGAUAUGUAAAUGUAUGUAAAAACUGUCAUAAUUUUCUAUCCCAUUAUGUGUUCACUUAUUGUUGUUCUGCUAAAUGAAAACAGAUGAACUCAAUCAUAGGGCAUCUCAUUUAUUUGAAAAUCUUGCUUGUCUGCUUUUAAUAAUUCAGGAAUUUCAUAUGGUUCAUCAUCCUUUCAUUAUCACUGACACUCUUCUGCGGUUCCUCUUUUAGAUCUAAGCAUGAUUCUCAAGAGAGAAGCUGAAGGAAAAAGUAACUGAGUUGGUGUACGUUAACUUAUUUUUGUGAAAACCAAAAGCUGGCAGAUUGUCAAAUACUGCCUAUAUUUUGAUUAUUAAAGAAUUCUGAACAAAUCAGGACAUGAGGCUCUUUUAUCUUACAAACUUAAAGUAAACAUAAGUUUGAUUUUGCAGUCAACUUCUGUUUUCCAGAAUUGAUUUGAUCAUAUUUAUGUCAUGUCCAUAUUACUUUUAUGAGGGUACCUUAUAAGGGUCCUACUUCACUUUUCUAUAUGCUUUAAUGUAGAUUUGACUUUGCAAUUCUUUUUGAGGAAUUGAAUAUAUUGCAUCAAAAAAUGGUCUAUGUCCCCCAAUUUCAGUUAUUUGGGCUUAAAAUUUUUAUUACAAGUCAUAAAGAAAUUUGUUUUAUUUCCUCCCCCCAAAAAACAAUGAAAGGUAUGGAAAUGACCUGUGUUGGAUAAGCAUAGAUUCUUCAAGAAUGACAUUUGUAAUCUGCAACAGAAAAUAUCUAGUUCUAGAAAAUGAUAUUCUGUUAAGUAUAGUAAAUUCCAUCAACCAACCAUACAGAAUCAUUUCAAAUAGUCAUUCAGCAACAUCCCCAAAAUAACUGCUAGUACCAAUGGUAUUAAUUUCUUAUUCAUAAAGGCCAUGAAUAUACUUUUUAAGUAAAUCAAGUUAGUGUUGAGUUGCCUACUAGUUAAUUCCACAUAAAUAUAAAUAUAAGCACUUACUCUGUGCCAGGCACUCAGGAUGCAAGGUAAAUGUGCCUGAAAUUGUCCCUGCCCACACAUAAAAUAUAAAUUGCAGGACAUGCUUUGGCUCUUUUGCUGAGAGCCAUCUGUUUGGUUUUCUGGCAUAGUCUGGGCACUGGUUCUUCCUUCAUUCAUUGCUGCUGUUGCUCUGAUUGCUGUUUCCUCAAUUCCAAGGGAAAUGUUUCUUGAGAGCUAUGUUCAAAUAUUAAAAAUUGAGUGUAUUUUUUAAUAGGAAAAAUCAGUUUACUUUUAUUGAAGUGGAUCUGUGCUAUCACAUAUGAAGAUAUAGGUAGUAUACACACUAUGAGAAAAUGUCAGAGAAGCAUUUUUGUUGUUUUUUGUUUGUACUUUUUGACCUUGACAUAUGAGAUAGUUUGAUUUUUUAAAAAUCACCAUUGCUAUAUGUUAAAUAAUGCCUUUAAGGUUAAAUGAUAGAAGAGUUACAAGAACUUAAAGGCAAAACAAUUUAAGUUGCAAACAGCAAGACAGAAACAGAAGUAAAUCCUUCCCUACAGGGAAGUAAGCUGAUUAAAGAUGAUUACUAGAUGCAAAUAGGGAGCAAAAAUGCAUAGAUUAUAUAAGGUCAUAGCAGAAACUGUAAGCAGCAAGUCAGCAGUCCAGCCAAUAUGUAGUCCUUAGAGGUGCAGACCCAUGUUUAAAGAUCCACAUUUGAAUUAUUGGGUCCACCCCUCUAGUUAUUUAAGUUAUAAUAUCCUCGUGUCAUGCAUACAUAUUACGUGACAAAUCCAAACAAUAAAAACACAUUCAAAAUACACUAGGUGGAUUUUGUCGCAGACUUUUAGGCAUUUCAAAACUGAGAUACAGUUUAGGUUUUUACAUCUGGCAAUUCAGUCACUUGUCAAACUAUUCCAUAAGGUCCAUAAUCUCUAUACUAUAAAAAUCUUAAAAGUUAAGCAGAUCCUUAAUUUUUAAAAAUACAGUCUAAGCAUAAAUUUGUCACACUGAAUAGAACAAAGUAAAAACUACAGGGAAGGAAACAGAGGAAGUUAAUAUGAAAUGAAGUCUAAAUUGAAAGUCUUUUCUGUGAGUUUAAAAAUAGGCAUUUCCCUGCCAAUGAAAGAGAACACAUGUGAAUAUUCAUUUAGGACUAUACAGUCUAGUUUGCUUCCUCAAGUAAGUGAACUAACAGUUAUAAUUUGCACAGUUACCAACUUAAAAUUUUCACUUUCGUCUUACAUUUGAAAAUUUAAAGAAUUUCAAUUACCCAUACUAAUCAAGCUGUGGAGUAAUGUGUACAAAACUCAUAGUCUAAAAAGGAAGUUUCAGUGGUAGAUUUAGUUUGAAUGAGGUAUUUUUCCCAAGAAACUUUACUUCUGUUUUCCAAUAAAUAAUUAUUAGGAAGCAUUUAUGGUGAGCUCACAGCAGGGCUAGUCUGUAGCAGAGAAAUGUAUAUAUUAUGAUUCUCCCCAAAGCAUGCUUAUAAUCUGAUUGGAGAAAUGAUUUGCACAAAUAUGUAACAAAUUCCCACGGAUCAUCCUGCAUACUCAGCUAGCAUGCCACCUCCUCCAGUAAGCCUUCCUGGACCUACCAGACAGAGCCAACAUCUCCCUCUGUGGGUGGCCCAUCACAGGAUUUACACUCAUGUGCUGUAAUUACAGACUCAUUUGCUAUCCCUUUCCUGAUUGGACCCAGAGCUAUGUCCAACCAUUUAGCAUGAGGAAGUGUAAUGUACGAAUUUAGUAAAAUGGGUGAAGUAGAAAGUACAUCUAUUCUCCUUCCAACCUCAAACAGAGGACUAAGAAUUACAAUGCUCUCUGAAGCUAAUAUCUGGUGGUCAGAUACUCAGUAGUCCACAUUGUGUCUACUUCAUUAGAAGCAAUCGAACCUGAGACAUCUGCUUUAACUCGUACUCUCGGCAACACCCAUCGUAUGACCUCCUUCUUUCACUCCUUCAUACGUAAUCUAUUCCUGAGUACAAUUUAUUUCAUUCUAACGCUCUCUCCAAUAUUCAAUUUAUCCUAUCAGCUGUACCAUUCUAGUUCAAACUAUUAUCUCUUAUUUGGACAAAAGAAAUCUUUCCCCAGUUUUUCUUUUACCCCUUUCAUGCUUCUCUCUUCACUGAAACCAAUGUGAUAUUUUGAAGAUUCAGAUCAGAUCAGAGUAAUUCCCCUUCAGUGGCUUCUCACUGCUGGGAGAAGACCAUGAUCUUUGAUGUCACUUGUAACGUGAUACAUGAAUCUGCCCUGCUAGUCUCCCCAAUUGCAAAUCCUACCAAUUUCCUCUUUGCUUCAUGCACUGAGUUAUACAUGUACUCUCUCUGUUCUUGCACCAUGCUAAGCUUUAUAUCUAACUUAGGGCCUUUAUAUCUGCAUUUCUCUCUCCUUUUAGUCCUCUUCUUCUCUGCAUCACUACAACUGCCUAGCUCACUCCAUUAAUCCUUCAGACAACAGCCCAAUAUUCUUCCAGGAGAGCUUUCUCUGUCCUCCUGAUUAAGUCUGAUCUCUCUACUCAUUCAACACUCGUAUGUUUCCUUUAAUACCACUCACUGAAACCUGUAACCAUAUACUCAGAUAUGUGAUUAUCUCAUUAAUCUUUCUCACCCCUACUAUAUGAAAAGCACCACAGAGAUUAGGGCUGUUUUGAUAGACAUAUUCCUAAUGACUAUUGUGGGGCCUACCAUAUAGUAGGUCCUCCAACAAUCCUUCUUGAAAAAAUUAAUAAAUUUAACAUUCCAACAAAAACCAUAUUGAAGAAUGAUGAGUAUAACAAGAGGAAUAUGAGCUGUCAGUAAGAACAAGGACAAGGGGAAAGAAGUUACUAGAUCAUCAUGCUGAAAACUGAAAGUGGGGAGGGAGAGCUGGAUUUAGAGUUUAAAUAUAGGUUAGACAAUCUGGAAUUUAAUUCAGAAAUAGAGAGACCUUAGUAGAUUCAUUAAGAAUUCCCCAUGUGAUUUCCUUUCCCCCAAGCAUCUUUGAUUUAUGAAAGAUAAACAAAAUUGACAAAUCUUUAGCUGCGCUAUUUAAGAAAAAAAGACAUAAGAUUCAAAUAAAUAAAAUGAAACUCACGCCUGUAAUCUUAACAGUUUGAGAGGCUGAGGCAGGAGGAUUGCUUGAAGCCAGAAGUUGAAGACCAGUCUGGUCAACAUGGCAAAGAUCCAUUUCUCAAAUAAAUAAAAUUGUAAAUGAAAGAGGAGACAUUACAGCUGAUGCCACAGGAAUAAGAAAAAUCAUAAUAAACUACUAUGAACAAUUAUACACAAACAAAUUGAAUAACCUGGAAGAAACUGAUAAAUUCCUAGAAACAUAAAACAUACCAAGACUUUAUUAUGAAGUACUACAAAGUCUGAACAGAGCUGUAUAGAGAUGAUAUCAGUAAGCAAAAUCUCCCCCAAAAAAAAAAAGCCCAGGACUUGAUGGCUUCAUGGGUAACUUCUGUCCAACAUGUGAAGAAGAAUGAACAUCAAUCAUUUUCAAACUUUUCCAAAACUAUUGAAGAGGAAGAAACACUUUUAAAUUAAUUUUAUGAAGCGAGCAUAACCCAGAUAACAGCCAGACAAAGAUGCCACAAGAGGCCAGGCGCGGUGGCUCACGCCUGUAAUCCCAGCACUUUGGGAGGCCAAGGUGGGCGGAUCACGUGGUCAGGAGAUGGAGACCAUCCUGGCUAACACGGUGAAACCCCAUCUCCACUAAAAAUACAAAAAAAUUAGUCGGGCAUGGUGGUGGGGCCUUUAGUCCCAGCUACUCGGGAGGCUGAGGCAGGAGAAUGGCGUGAACCCAGGAGGUGGAGCUUGCAGUGAGCGAAGAUCUUGCCACUACACUCCAGCCUGGGCGACACAGCGAGACUCCGUCUCAAAAAAAACAAAAAACAAAAAACAAAACAAAACAAAACACAGGAGAACUACAGGCCAAUAUUAUUGAUAAAUAUAGAUGCAAAAAAUCCUCAAUAAAAUACAAGCAAACCAACACAUUACAAGGACCAUACACUAUGACCAAGUCAGAUUUAUCCCUGGAAUAAAAGGAUGGGUAAUCUAAAAAUCAAUCAAUGUGAUACACUAAUUGAUGAAAAAAAUUACUUCAACAGGCACAGUAAAAGCAUGUGAUAAAAGUAAACACCUUUUUGUAAAUAAAAACUCUGAUAAAAAUAGAAAUAGAAGCAAAGUAGCUCAACAUAAUAAAAAACAUGUGAAAAGCCUAGUUGUUAAAUCAAUGGUAAAAACUGAAAACUUUUCUCUAAGAUUAGGAACAAGGCAUGGAUGCCCUCUGUCCUCAAUUCUAUUUAACAUAGUACUGGAAGUGUUUGCAAAAUUAGUUAGGCAAGAAAAAAAAAGGCAUCCAAAUUGGAAAAGAAGGAAAUUGUUUCUGUUUCCAGAGGACAUGAUCUUAUAUAUAGAAAACCCUAAAGACUCUAUUAAAAAACUGUUAGAACUAAUAAUGAAUCAGUGAAGUUACAAAAAUCAAUUACAUUUCCAUAUACUAAAAACAUACUCUCUGAAAAAAAUUAGGAAAAUCUCACAUACAAUAGAAUGAAAUAAUAAAA